rnacentral:lncRNA from 1 species
GGCAAAAAAACUCAACAAAGAGUGUUCACAACACCACAAAAGAAGUGAAGGGAUGCAAAAGAGGUUUGAGUGGACUGGAAUUUUUCUUCUUAAAAAAUAAAGAGUGCAUGAACGCUUAGGAAAAUCCUAAGAAUUUCAAAUCCUUCAAGGAUCAUGUGAGAGACUCCCUCUGUAAUGAUAUAUAGAAAAAAAAUCACACAUAUCCAAACACCCUAUAAAUCCUUCCGAACAUAGAUUUAUUUUUUCCUUGUCCUGCGGUGAUAUACAUAUAGUCCGAUGAUUAAAAAAAACUCGGCACACAGGAGACGGACUAGCAGGGCUUGAUGCGAAGUACUAGCGGCAGCUGUGAUAGCUUUCUUCGCUAAAAAUAUUCGUUUUCCUUGAUGAGAAGUAUGUGUAUAAUAACAUAAAAUAAAGAUCCAACCUGCAAGACAGAAGAAACACUUGAGGCAAUGAUUCGUGAGGAUAGGAGUAGAAAGCAGAGAAAUACUAGUCGUUUUCUUAAGAGUAAGAUGAUGAAAGAAGAAUCUAAUGGCGCUGCUUCAUUGAGCUAGCAGAGGACUCACCCACGAGACGAGAGAACAAGCGAUGGAGGUAGGCAUACGUUCGCGCCCCGGNNNNNNNNNNNNNNNNNNNNNNNNNNNNNNNNNNNNNNNNNNNNNNNNNNNNNNNNNNNNNNNNNNNNNNNNNNNNNNNNNNNNNNNNNNNNNNNNNNNNGGGAACAGCGCGGCGACGCGGAACGAUGAGCUGCUGGUGGCGGGGUGGAGCAGCUCCUCGCGGCGCGGCGAGCACCUGCGGGGAGAGGGCGGCGGAGAGCAUGGUGCGGGGCAGCCGGAGUACAGGGAGGAGGCUGCGACAUCAGGAGGAGAGGGGAAUCGGGGGGAGGUAGACGGCAUGAGGGGAGGACGAGGGAGGCUGCGGGAUCGGUCGCUAGGGCAGGGGAGGGGAGGCCUUGGGCCUUGGCCUAGGGUCCUCCCCCUUUGGUUUUUCCCUCUUUUUUAAAAAAACAGGAAGCUUAAACAAAAAGAAUUUUUUAAAAAAUAAAUAAAAAUAAAGGCCUUUGACUUCUUAAAACAAAAAUUAUGCCCCAACUAUAAAAUAGAUUCAACACUUUUUAAACGAAUAAAAAUAACCUUUUGAAAAAUUAAAAUAAACCCUUUUACAAAAGAAUAAAAUAAAACCCCUUUCAUUUAAAUAAUAAAAUAAAGGCUCUUUAAAGGAGAAAAGAAAUGAGACGGUUUUAGAAAAUAGACAAAGGAAGAAAUAAAGAAACCCAAGGGCUUGCCCCACAUUUAAUAAAAGGGUUUUAAAGAAGACGCAUUUUUAAAAAGGGUUAAAAUGAAACUUUUACACAACCCCAAACAAAUCAAAGAGAAGAGAGGAGGGGAGUUCCUAUCGCACUAAGACUCGGUGACCACUCGAAGCACACACACUCAAAACACCACACGCGACACACGAUGCAAGAUGCCAUGCAUGAUGCGACGAUGCAAACUAAAUGAUGAUGCAACAAAUAAAACUAAUCACACGACGGAAACGGAAAUAAAGGGGGGAAUCUUGUGGGGCGUCGGUCUCGGGCUGUCACAACUCUCCUACACUACAAGAGGAUCUCGCCCCGAGAUCCAAGAAUGAAAGGGGGGAGAGGAUGAGAAGGAACAAGAGGUAAAAUUUAGUCGCUUCUUUGACAAACGAGUGAAACCGACAAUCCUUGAAAGUUGCAAAGAGAUGAGGAAGAAGAAGCAAGAAUUCACGGAAAAUUUCGGCAGCACUUCGGUAGGAAAAUGGGACAAUUUUUUGAUAAGAAGAGAGAAUUAGACAAUAUACAUAACAAAGAACUAAAUAGAACAAAGGAACACCAUGAUCUUGAUAGAACAACAUAAUAGACCCAAAAGAGCAACAUCACAAUGCCUCCGGAACAAGAGAAUAUGAGCUAGCUCAAGCAGAAGAAGAGAAUGAAGAAAAGAAUGACAACUAUCAUCACAAUAGANNNNNNNNNNNNNNNNNNNNNNNNNNNNNNNNNNNNNNNNNNNNNNNNNNNNNNNNNNNNNNNNNNNNNNNNNNNNNNNNNNNNNNNNNNNNNNNNNNNNUGAAAAUUGAUGAUGUGGCUUUGAAUGGUGCAUUUUGAACACACAAAUACUCUGGAGUUAAAAUAAGUUCAAAAAAAUGAAAUUCCUUUGUAACAGAUGAGUUUUCGUAUGAAACCCUGAUACUUCGAAAGAUAUUGUCCAUUUUGUACACGAAGUGCAUCCAGUUUUUAACAUAACCCUCUCAACGUUUUAGCACAUGCUAUGUGAGUGAAAUGAUGAUACCAUGCCAACUAUCAACCUUUUCAUAGUUCAUUUGUAGUGCUUUUCAAUUUCAUGGUCAUUUAGCUCCAAAAAAGCAUUAAAUGCAUGAAAAAUAUCAAAUGAAGUCAGAAAUUGUUGAAAAUUGAUGAUGUGGCUUUGAAUGGUGCAUUUUAAACACACAAAUAGUCUGGAGUUCAAAUAAGUUCAAAAAAAUGAAAUCCCUUUGUAACAGAUGAGUUUUCAUAUGAAACCCUCAUACUUCGAAAGAGAUUGUCCGUUUUGUACACGAAGUGCAUCCGGUUUUUGCCGUAACCCUCUCAACUUUUUAACACAUGCUAUGUGGGUGAAAUGAUGAUACCAUGCAAACUUUCAACCUUUUCAGAGUUCAUUUGUAGAGCUUUUCAAUUUCAUGGUCAUUUAGCUCAAAAAAGCAUUAAAUGCAUGAAAAAUACCAAAUGAAGUCAGAAAUUGUUGAAAAUUGAUGAUGUGGCUUUGAAUGGUGCAUUUUGAACACACAAAUACUCUGGAGUUAAAAUAAGUUCAAAAAAAUGAAAUUCCUUUGUAACAGAUGAGUUUUCGUAUGAAACCCUGAUACUUCGAAAGAUAUAUAGUCUAGAGUUCAAAUAAGUUCAAAAAAAUUAAAUCCCUUUGUAACAGAUGAGUUUUCGUAUGAAACCGUGAUACUUCGAAAGAGAUUGUCCGUUUUGUACAUGAAGCGCAUCCAGUUUUUGCCGUAACCCUAUCAACUUUUUAGCACAUGCUAUGUCGGUGAAAUGAUGAUACUAUGCCAACUUUCAACCUUUUCAUAGUUCAUUUGUAGUGCUUUUCAAUUUCAUGGUCAUUUAGCUCAAAAAAGCAUUAAAUGCAUGAAAAAUACCAAAUGAAGUCAGAAAUUGUUGAAAAUUGAUGAUGUGGCUUUGAAUGGUGCAUUUUGAACACACAAAAAGUCUGGAGUUCAAAUAAGUUCAUAAAAAUGAAAUCCCUUUGUAACACAUGAGUUUUUGUAUGANNNNNNNNNNNNNNNNNNNNNNNNNNNNNNNNNNNNNNNNNNNNNNNNNNNNNNNNNNNNNNNNNNNNNNNNNNNNNNNNNNNNNNNNNNNNNNNNNNNNACCCGACACAGCACAUUCACCCCCUUCGUUGUACGACGCUAUAGAGAUACUAUCGGGUACCGAGGGUGACACCUCGCUAAGUACUCCUGAUGUUAUCUCUGUAGUAUACCUAGUCGGUCGUGGUUAUCGAGGGUGAUUCCUCUUUCACCAUUCCCGAUGACGCCUCUAUUGUGCAACCCCUCAAGUGUGGGACCAUCGAGGGUGAUUCCUCUAAGUCCACCUUGACGGGUACAUCGUUUGGAAUCCAACGAGGAUGAUACCUCGGAUUCCCCCCCGAUGUUACAACCACACAGUUACUCGACCAUGUUACUGGGAUCUUUGGUGAUUAGUUGUAAGACGGGUGGAUUCCCGUGAGACUGUGUUGAUGGCCUAAUUAAAAUGCUAAUGGAUUUGGGUAUUUGAUCUGGGUUGGUCGGAGACCUUUUCGCACUAACCGGCUACGCGGGAAGAAUUAUGGGUACUCGGCGUCGCAGUAUCAGCCAAAGCUUUUCAGAUGUCAGCAAUCGUAGUGGCGCGCGCUCGAGUGGUCCCGAGAUGCAUUGCGCUUGUGAUUAAGGGAUGCUAGGACUGACAUCGGCCGCCCUCGCAUCGUGCAGGAGCGCGGAGGGGAACUGGGCCCAUGAACCCUUUGCGCUUAGGAUUUAGACCGGCGGGCUGACCUCUCUGAUUAGUCUUAGGUGGGGCUGCGACGUGUCGAUAUUCCGAGGCCGGGCAGGACCCAGAAAAGUAUGUCCGGCCAGAGUGUUAUCGAGCGUGACGGGACAUGUGGUGCACCCCUGCAGGGAUGAAAAUUAACUAUUCGGAUAGCCGUGUCCACGGUUACAGGACGACUUGGAGUUGUGCCCCGAUCUUAUACAACUAAAAUUGUUACUUAACUGGAAUUAGUUUGCCUCGGGAUUGCUUCCUCGCAGGGAGUCGAGGGAGGAUCUUCAGGCGCGACCUCACUUUAAUAUUGCUGCAACAAUAUGACUAUUAAUGUGUUACCCCCUGUUCUACUCUCGUCUAUUGCUGCAAGACCCUGAAGAUGCUAGCCUUCGAUAGGACUAGGCCUUUUCUCUCUAUUCUCGCUUUGCUGCAGUCAGUCCACAUAUAACACCCCCCAUUCUUUGAUACUGAUGCAUAUUUAGAAUAGUUCUGAUGUAAGACUUGCGAGUACUUUGGAUGAGUACUCACCGCUGCUUUGAUCCCCCCUUGUCCCCUUGAUCCGUUUGCUGCGACCAGAUGAUGGAGCCCAGGAGUGAAGUUUCCUGCCGACGCCUGCCGUCCCGAUGGUGUCUUCUUCAUGGAGGCCGCUGAUGAUCAGGAGUAGUUAGGAGGUUCCCAGGCAGGAGGCCUCGCCUCGUUCGAUCGUUGUAUCUUUUGUGCUAGCCUUCUCUAAGGCACCCCAUGUUUUAUGUCUGUACUCAGAUAUUGUUGCUUCCGCUGACUCGUGCGGUUAUCGAGCUUCCAUAUUCUAGCCCUCGAGGCCCCUGGCUUGUAAUAUGAAGUUGAUGUUAUUUUAUUUGUGUCUAGAGUUGUGUUGUGAUAUCUUCCCGUGAGUCCUUGGGUUUGAUCGUACGCAUUUGCGUGUAUGGUUAGCGUACGAUUAAAUCGGGGGCGUCAGAAGUUGGUAUCAGAGCCGACUGCCUGUAGGUAGCCCCCUUUCCAACUCCUUGGCUGAAGUUGAGUCUAGUGUUUGAAAAACUUUACUAACACUGAUGUUGUGGCUUACGGGCCCACAUCUCAAUUGGGUGGUAUUAGUAUCUUUUACUCCUUUCCUAUACUCUGGGAUUCUACUCUCUCUUCUCUUUCGGGACAAAGAUUUUGCUAACUCUAACAUUAGAUUCUCGUAAAUACUUCCUCCCGGAGAGCCCCGUAUUCCAGACGAUGGCUUUAUCCCUGAGAAGAACUGCAGUUACUCUUCGAUGUUCUCUUGAGCUGUUGCGCUCAUUGCUUCUGCAAUUUCCCUUCCUCCGUCAACCCCUAUGGAUGAUGACAUACAAAUGUCGUCCAUACUUUCUUUUCCAAUUGCUCUUGUUAUACGAGAUGCAACGAAUUAUCUUAUUGGGGAUUCGGCCAUCAUCAGUUGUCAUGGAUUUCGAAAGUUCUUUGACUUACUAUUCGGUCUUUCGAAAUCCUCCGUAGCCUAUUGCUCUUGGCUUUUCUCACCAACUUGCAUUAUAGUUAAAUCCAUAUGUCUAGCAGCAUUCAUUAAAAUCCUUUGUGAUUUUCCUCUGAUCUUAUUGACUCAACCUCUGUGUGAAUGAACACAAUCAUCUGAGGAUACUUAUGAAUUUUCUUUCCGACUCAGACGUCCUUUCAAACAGAACUGGUUCCCGGCAAAUCAAUUUUUAUUGAUUGUCCAUCUAAAUCUAUUCAACUUACUUGUAUUUGAUCGGAGCAUCUGAUUNNNNNNNNNNNNNNNNNNNNNNNNNNNNNNNNNNNNNNNNNNNNNNNNNNNNNNNNNNNNNNNNNNNNNNNNNNNNNNNNNNNNNNNNNNNNNNNNNNNNGUUACAACCACACAGUUACUCGACCAUGUUACUGGGAUCUUUGGUGAUUAGUUGUAAGACGGGUGGAUUCCCGUGAGACUGUGUUGAUGGCCUAAUUAAAAUGUUAAUGGAUUUGGGUAUUUGAUCUGGGUUGGUCGGAGACCUUUUCGCACUAACCGGCUACGCGGGAAGAAUUAUGGGUACUCGGCGUCGCGGUAUCAGCCGAAGCUUUUCAGAUGUCAGCAAUUGUAGUGGCGCGCGCCCGAGUGGUCCCGAGAUGCAUUGCGCUUGUGAGUAAGGGAUGCUAGGACUGACGUCGGCCGCCCUCGCAUCGUGCAGGAGCAUGGAGGGGAACUCGGCCCAUGAACCCUUUGCGCUUAGGAUUUAGACCGGCGGGCUGACCUCUCUGAUUAGUCUUAGGUGGGGCUGCGACGUGUCGAUAUUCCGAGGCCGGGCAGAACCUAGAAAAGUAUGUCCGGCCAGAGUGUUAUCGAGCGUGACGGGACAUGUGGUGCACCCCUGCAGGGAUGAAAAUUAACUAUUCAGAUAGCCGUGUCCACGGUUACAGGACGACUUGGAGUUGUGCCCCGAUCUUAUACAACUAAAAUUGUUACUUAACUGGAAUUAGUUUGCCUCGGGAUUGCUUCCUCGCAGGGAGUCGAGGGAGGAUCUUCAGGCGCGACCUCACUUUAAUAUUGCUGCAACAAUAUGACUAUUAAUGUGUUANNNNNNNNNNNNNNNNNNNNNNNNNNNNNNNNNNNNNNNNNNNNNNNNNNNNNNNNNNNNNNNNNNNNNNNNNNNNNNNNNNNNNNNNNNNNNNNNNNNNUCCCUCGGGUUCCCCCCCCCCCCUCCCCCGAUGUUACAACCACACAGUUACUCGACCAUGUUACUGGGAUCUUUGGUGAUUAGUUGUAAGACGGGUGGAUUCCCGUGAGACUGUGUUGAUGGCCUAAUUAAAAUGUUAAUGGAUUUGGGUAUUUGAUCUGGGUUGGUCGGAGACCUUUUCGCACUAACCGGCUACGCGGGAAGAAUUAUGGGUACUCGGCGUCGCGGUAUCAGCCGAAGCUUUUCAGAUGUCAGCAAUUGUAGUGGCGCGCGCCCGAGUGGUCCCGAGAUGCAUUGCGCUUGUGAGUAAGGGAUGCUAGGACUGACGUCGGCCGCCCUCGCAUCGUGCAGGAGCAUGGAGGGGAACUCGGCCCAUGAACCCUUUGCGCUUAGGAUUUAGACCGGCGGGCUGACCUCUCUGGGUAGUCUUAGGUGGGGCUACGACGUGUCGAUAUUCCGAGGCCGGGCAGAACCUAGAAAAGUAUGUCCGGCCAGAGUGUUAUCGAGCGUGACGGGACAUGUGGUGCACCCCUGCAGGGAUGAAAAUUAACUAUUCGGAUAGCCGUGUCCACGGUUACAGGACGACUUGGAGUUGUGCCCCGAUCUUAUACAACUAAAAUUGUUACUUAACUGGAAUUAGUUUGCCUCGGGAUUGCUUCCUCGCAGGGAGUCGAGGGAGGAUCUUCAGGCGCGACCUCACUUUAAUAUUGCUGCAACAAUAUGACUAUUAAUGUGUUACCCCCUGUUCUACUCUCGUCUAUUGCUGCAAGACCCUGAAGAUGCUAGUCUUCGAUAGGACUAGGCCUUUUCUCUCUAUUCUCGCUUUGCUGCAGUCGGUCCACAUAUAACACCUCCCCUUCUUUGAUAUUGAUGCAUAUUUAGAAUAGUUCUGAUGUAAGACUUGCGAGUACUUUGGAUGAGUACUCACCGCUGCUUUGAUCCCCCCUUGUCCCCUUGAUCCGUUUGCUGCGACCAGAUGAUGGAGCCCAGGAGUGAAGUUUCCUGCCGACGCCUGCCGUCCCGAUGGUGUCUUCUUCAUGGAGGCCGCUGAUGAUCAGGAGUAGUUAGGAGGUUCCCAGGCAGGAGGCCUCGCCUCGUUCGAUCGUUGUAUCUUUUGUGCUAGCCUUCUCUAAGGCACCCCAUGUUUUAUGUCUGUACUCAGAUAUUGUUGCUUCCGCUGACUCGUGCGGUUAUCGAGCUUCCAUAUUCUAGCCCUCGAGGCCCCUGGCUUGUAAUAUGAAGUUGAUGUUAUUUUAUUUGUGUCUAGAGUUGUGUUGUGAUAUCUUCCCGUGAGUCCUUGGGUUUGAUCGUACGCAUUUGCGUGUAUGGUUAGCGUACGAUUAAAUCGGGGGCGUCAGAAGUUGGUAUCAGAGCCGACUGCCUGUAGGUAGCCCCCUUUCCAACUCCUUGGCUGAAGUUGAGUCUAGUGUUUGAAAAACUUUACUAACACUGAUGUUGUGGCUUACGGGCCCACAUCUCAAUUGGGUGGUAUUAGUAUCUUUUACUCCUUUCCUAUACUCUGGGAUUCUACUCUCUCUUCUCUUUCGGGACAAAGAUUUUGCUAACUCUAACAUUAGAUUCUCGUAAAUACUUCCUCCCGGAGAGCCCCGUAUUCCAGACGAUGGCUUUAUCCCUGAGAAGAACUGCAGUUACUCUUCGAUGUUCUCUUGAGCUGUUGCGCUCAUUGCUUCUGCAAUUUCCCUUCCUCCGUCAACCCCUAUGGAUGAUGACAUACAAAUGUCGUCCAUACUUUCUUUUCCAAUUGCUCUUGUUAUACGAGAUGCAACGAAUUAUCUUAUUGGGGAUUCGGCCAUCAUCAGUUGUCAUGGAUUUCGAAAGUUCUUUGACUUACUAUUCGGUCUUUCGAAAUCCUCCGUAGCCUAUUGCUCUUGGCUUUUCUCACCAACUUGCAUUAUAGUUAAAUCCAUAUGUCUAGCAGCAUUCAUUAAAAUCCUUUGUGAUUUUCCUCUGAUCUUAUUGACUCAACCUCUGUGUGAAUGAACACAAUCAUCUGAGGAUACUUAUGAAUUUUCUUUCCGACUCAGACGUCCUUUCAAACAGAACUGGUUCCCGGCAAAUCAAUUUUUAUUGAUUGUCCAUCUAAAUCUAUUCAACUUACUUGUAUUUGAUCGGAGCAUCUGAUUNNNNNNNNNNNNNNNNNNNNNNNNNNNNNNNNNNNNNNNNNNNNNNNNNNNNNNNNNNNNNNNNNNNNNNNNNNNNNNNNNNNNNNNNNNNNNNNNNNNNUUUGUGCCCAUCACUGCUUUCAUGGUCAGCACACUUCCGGUAUGCAGUUGCUCCGUCAAUGUAUAAAUCGCCUUCAGCAUCAGGACACAAUCAUCUUGAAGAUUGACGGCUCUCGGACAUGUGCAAGAGGUAAUGAUAGUUACUGAUUUAUACAAAGCUAUUUAUUUACAAAGUGCAAGGUCAAGGGUUGGUUUUUUACCAAAGACAGCUUGCGCCAUGUUGGAGAUAUGUCGCUUUAAGCCAGACAGCUCUUGUUGCACAGUGUCCAAUUUGGCUUCAGCUUUUUCUGCUCGCUUUAUUAAGGCAUCUUGAUCAGUUUGAGCCCUUUUUAAGUCGGCUUUUAGCUUUUCCAUCUCAAAGAGGAUCAGUUGACACUUCUCUUCUGAUUUUGCCCGGGCGUCCUGCUGAUCGGUUAAACUUUUCUUCAAGUCGCCAAAUGCUGAUUCAGUUUGGAUAAGUGAUUCCUGUCGAAAUAUAUAAUCAAGGGGCAAGUUUCAGAAUUAUUGCAAGCAACAUCCCUGACACUUGGGGGCUAAUGUAUAAUUUUUAAGACAAAAUUAUACAGUAUCAAGACCUGGCUCAUCUUUUUACAGAUGACCCGACCCUUGGGGGUUACAGGUCGAAUGUUUUUUCUUCAAUUAUCAAGACCCGGCUCAUCUUUUUACAGAUGACCCGGCCCUUGGGGGUCACAGGUCGAAAGUUUUUUCUUCAAUUAUCAAGACCCGGUCAUCUUUUUACAGAUGACCCGGCCCUUGGGGGAUACAGGUCGAAAGUUUUUUCUUCAAUUAUCAAAGACCCGGCUCAUCUUUUUACAGAUGACCCGGCCCUUGGGGGUUAAUGNNNNNNNNNNNNNNNNNNNNNNNNNNNNNNNNNNNNNNNNNNNNNNNNNNNNNNNNNNNNNNNNNNNNNNNNNNNNNNNNNNNNNNNNNNNNNNNNNNNNGGUCAAUGAUUUACAAAUAAUCUUUGGAAAGAGUCCUGGCGGACUACCUGUUCCGAAAGACGAUGCGGGACGCUCACCCAUGUGGAAGAAGAAGUCUAUAUUUUGGAACCUACCCUAUUGGAAAGACCUAGAGGUCCGCUCUACAAUCGACAUGAUGCAUGUGACGAAGAAUCUUUGCGUGAACCUGCUAGGCUUCUUGGGAGUGUAUGCGAAGACAAAAGAUACACCAGAGCCAUGGGAGGAACAUCAACGUGUGCAUGAAAAAGACGGCAUGCAUCCGAACAGUAUGAAGGUCCUGCCAGCUACGCUCUUACCAAAGAAGAGAAGGAAAUCUUCUUUGAAUGCCUGCUCAGUAUGAAGGUCCCCUCUGGCUUCUCGUCAAAUAUAAAGCGAAUAUAAAUAUGGCAGAAAAAAAGUUCCAGAACCUAAAGUCUCAUGACUGUCACGUGAUUAUGACGCAACUGCUUCCGGUUGCAUUGAGGGGGCUUCUAACGGAAAACGUUCGAUCAGCCAUUGUGAAGCUAUGUGCAUUCCUCAAUGCAAUCUCUCAGAAGGUCAUCGAUCCAGAAAUCCUGCCAAGGUUAAGGAGUGGUUUGGUGUAAUGUCUUGUUACUUUCGAGCUAGUGUUCCCACCAUCUGUCUUCAAUAUCAUGACGUGCGUCCUGGUUCAUCUAGUGGACGAGAUUCUCGUUCUGGUCCCUGUAUUUCUACACAAUAUGUUCCCCUUUGAGAGGUUCAUGGGAGUCCUAAAGAAAUAUGUUCGUAACCGUGCUAGGCCAGAAGGAAGCAUCUCCAUGGGCCAUCAAACAGAGGAUGUCAUUGGGUUUUGUGUUGACUUCAUUCCUGACCUUAAGAAGAUUGUUCUCCCUCAAUCGCGGUAUGAGGGGAGACUGACUGGAAAAGGCACACUAGGAGCAGAGUCAAUAAUGUGUACGGAUGGGCAUUCUUGGUCUCAAGCACACUACAUAGUUCUACAGAAUUCCAGCUUGGUGAACCUGUAUGUUGAUGAACACAAGUAUAUUCUGCGCUCCAAACACCCAGAGCAGUGUGACGACUGGAUUACAUAUGAACACAUCACGACUUUUGGCAGUUGGUUGCAAAAACAUCACAUAGGUGACGACACUGUUUCUGAUGAGAUGUACUCGUUGGCCAGGGCACCAUCUUCAACUACAUUGACUUACCAAGGGUACAAGAUAAAUGGGAAUACAUUUUACACGAUCGUCGAAGAUCAAAAGAGCACCAACCAAAACAGCGGUGUCCGCUUUGAUGCAACACACGAGAAUGGGAAAAAGGACACAUACUAUGGUUACAUAGUGGACAUAUGGGAACUUGACUAUGGACAUGAUUUCAAGGUCCCUUUGUUUCAGUGCAAAUGGGUCAAUCUGUCAGGAGGCGGGGUACAGAUUGACCCACAGUAUGGAAUGACAACAGCGGAUUUUAACAAUCUUUGGUACACAUAUGAACCAUUCAUCCUAGCCAAUGAUGUGGCGCAGGUUUUCUAUGUGAAGGACAUGUAUAUAAAACAGAGAAAAAGAAAAUAUAAGGCAGCGAAUACAUCAUACAAUGAGCCAAAGCGCCACAUAAUUCUUUCAAGAAAAAGAGACAUCGUGGGAUUGCAGGGCAAGACAGACAUGUCUGAAGAUUAUGAAAAGUUUCAUGAAAUUCCUCCCUUCAAAGUCAAGGCUAACCCAAGCACCCUGUUAAACGAUGAAGAUUAUCCAUGGUUACGGUGCAAUAAGCAAAGAACACAAGCGAAGUAAAAGUGAAGAAAUGAAAUGCCUUUUGUAACCCUCUCAACUUUUCAAAAAAUAUUGUAUGAAACCCUUUGUAACAGAUGAGUUUUCGUAUCCAUGGGCUAAAAAGUUCAAAAAAAUGAAAUCCGUUUGUAACAGAUGAGUUUUCGUAUGAAACCCUCAUACUUCGAAAGAGAUUGUCCGUUUUGUACACGAAGUGCAUCCAGUUUUUGCCGUAACCCUCUCAACUUUUUAGCACAUGCUAUGUGGGUGAAAUGAUGAUACCAUGCCAACUUUCAACCUUUUCAGAGUUCAUUUGUAGUGCUUUUCAAUUUCAUGGUCAUUUAGCUCAAAAAAAGCAUUAAAUGCAUGAAAAAUACCAAAUGAAGUCAGAAAUUGUUGAAAAUUGAUGAUGUGGCUUUGAAUGGUGCAUUUUGAACACACAAAAAGUCUGGAGUUCAAAUAAGUUCAUAAAAAUGAAAUCCCUUUGUAACACAUGAGUUUUUGUAUGAAACCCUCAUACUUCGAAAGAGAUUGUUCGUUUUGUACACGAAGUGCAUCCAAUUUUUGCCAUAACCCUCUCAACUUUUUAGCACAUGCUAUGUGGGUGAAAUGAUGAUACCAUGCCAACUUUCAACCUUUUCAGAGUUCAUUUGUGGUGCUUUUCAAUUUCAUGGUCAUUUAGCUACAAAAAAGUAGUAAAUGCAUGAAAAAUACCAAAUGAAGUCAGAAAUUGUUGAAAAUUGAUGAUGUGGCUUUGAAUGGUGCAUUUUGAACACACAAAUACUCUGGAGUUAAAAUAAGUUCAAAAAAAAUGAAAUUCCUUUGUAACAGAUGAGUUUUCGUAUGAAACCCUGAUACUUCGAAAGAUAUUGUCCAUUUUGUACACGAAGUGCAUCCAGUUUUUAACAUAACCCUCUCAACGUUUUAGCACAUGCUAUGUGAGUGAAAUGAUGAUACCAUGCCAACUAUCAACCUUUUCAUAGUUCAUUUGUAGUGCUUUUCAAUUUCAUGGUCAUUUAGCUCCAAAAAAGACAUUAAAUGCAUGAAAAAUAUCAAAUGAAGUCAGAAAUUGUUGAAAAUUGAUGAUGUGGCUUUGAAUGGUGCAUUUUAAACACACAAAUAGUCUGGAGUUCAAAUAAGUUCAAAAAAAUGAAAUCCCUUUGUAACAGAUGAGUUUUCAUAUGAAACCCUCAUACUUCGAAAGAGAUUGUCCGUUUUGUACACGAAGUGCAUCCGGUUUUUGCCGUAACCCUCUCAACUUUUUAACACAUGCUAUGUGGGUGAAAUGAUGAUACCAUGCAAACUUUCAACCUUUUCAGAGUUCAUUUGUAGUAGCUUUUCAAUUUCAUGGUCAUUUAGCUCAAAAAAGCAUUAAAUGCAUGAAAAAUAUCAAAUGAAGUCAGAAAUUGUUGAAAAUUGAUGAUGUGGCUUUGAAUGGUGCAUUUUGAACACACAAAAUAGUCUAGAGUUCAAAUAAGUUCAAAAAAUUAAAUCCCUUUGUAACAGAUGAGUUUUCGUAUGAAACCGUGAUACUUCGAAAGAGAUUGUCCGUUUUGUACAUGAAGCGCAUCCAGUUUUUGCCGUAACCCUAUCAACUUUUUAGCACAUGCUAUGUCGGUGAAAUGAUGAUACUAUGCCAACUUUCAACCUUUUCAUAGUUCAUUUGUAGUGCUUUUCAAUUUCAUGGUCAUUUAGCUCAAAAAAGCAUUAAAUGCAUGAAAAAUACCAAAUGAAGUCAGAAAUUGUUGAAAAUUGAUGAUGUGGCUUUGAAUGGUGCAUUUUGAAAACAAUUGUGACCUAAAAGCAAAAAAGAAUCACUGAAAAAUAGUAAGUAGGAACAAAAUAAAAUAAAUAAAGUAAAAAACAAAACAAAAAAAUAGAUUUUUUUAAAUGCCACCUACUAGGCCACCACGGCGUGAAUAUGACUACAAACGCAACCAGUUGGUUGGGCCAGGAUUCAGGCCCGCAGAAGGCCCAAUAGGCCCACACGCAGUGAUAGAUUAGGCCCGGAAGCCUGCAGUUGAGAGGAGCUCGACACGGUGUGCGCAUGAGCACUUAUAAACCACUCACGAGCUCUCUUGGCUAGCGAGGUGGGCCUAAAAGUUUGGCCCGGCCAGCACCACAAUUUGGUCCCGUUUGGUGGCUCCAACCGCGACCAAUACCUCGCUUUUGUCCCGGUUGGAGCCACUAACCGGUACUAAAGAUCUUUUCAUCCCGACCUUUUGGGCUGAUGAAAAUUGAUCUGUAGUCCCGGUUGGUGGGUCAAACCGGAACCAAUGCCACCCAUUCGUCCCGGUUGGAGCCACCAACCGGUAUUAAAGGUCUCUUCUUCCCGCCCUUUUGGGCUAAUGAAAAUUGACCUUUAGUCCCAUUUGGAGCCACCAACCGGGACGAAAAGUUGGCACUGGUUCCAGUUGGAGCCACCAACCGGAACCAAAGGUGUUCGCAUAUAUGGCGGGACUUGUCGAAAUUUCCACCAACUCCCAUUUUCCCCCGUUCUCUUCUCUCCUGCACUUGAGAGGAGCCCGUCGCCGCCAGCCCGCGCCUCCUCAACGAGCCCGUCGUCGUCGUUGCCAUCGCCCCCGAGACCGUCGUCGCCCCUAGCCCAUCAUCGUCAUCGUCGACCCCGAGCCCGUCGCCGCCGACAUCGUCGCAAGCCCGUCGUCGUCGUCGCCCCCGAGCCCAUCGCCAUCGUCGUCGCCCUGAGCCCAUCGUUGUCAUCGUCGCCCUGAGCCCAUCAUCGUCGCCGUCGCCCCGAGCCCAUCGUCGUUGUCGUCGCCCCCGAUCUCGUCGUUGCGGCCCUGAGCGUGUCACCGCCGGCCCGCGCCUCCUCCCCGAGCCCAUCGUCGUCGUCGCCUGCGCCACCCCGAGCCCGUCGUCGUUGCCCAUCCUGUGACAUCCUCGACUUUUGCUACAGUAAAUAUUGUAAUUAAGCUACACUGAUCACCCGCAAAUGAUGCCACAUCAUCGAGAAUUACCGUCAUUGACCCGCAUUGAAUUUCUAUCUGGAUUCAGAAAUUGAAAACAAAAGAUGAUUAUAUUUACAAAUUCAUAUUAACUAUUAAAGAAAGAAAGUAUUAAAAAUAAUAAUGAUAAAAGAAAGAAAAGAAAUUAAAAAGAAAAAAAUUAGAAAGAAGAAAUAAUAGAAAAGGAAAACAAAACAAAACAAAACAAAAUAAAAAAGAAAAGAAAAAGAGGAAACCCCCCCCCCACCCCCCUGGCCGACUGGGCCAAAGUGGCCUAGCCGAGCCAGCCCACCCCGCACCCCCCCUCAAACCCUAGGGCUAGGGAGCCCCUCCCCUGCCUCGCUCCCUCCGUCCCACUUGCGCCGCCGCCAGGGGCUCCCUUCCCUCGUCGCCCGCACCACCCCUCGUGGGGGGGGGCCACCUCCCACCGACACCCCUCCCUCUCGUAACCCCNGAGAGGCUCUCUCCCUCCCAGUUCCCCCACGCACCAGACCCCCCCCCCACGAUCUCCCUCUCCCACCCCGAGCCCUCCUCUCCACCUCACCCCCACCCCGGCCGGCGAMGCUCCCCCCACCGCCGGCCUCUCCCUCCACCGGCCUCUUCCUCCCCACCCCGAUGCCUCCUCCUCCCCUCGUGCCUCCAGAUCUCCCUCCCUACCCCGAGGCCUCCCUCCUCUCGGCCUCGCCUCACUCCCCACCGGCCAUCCCGACAACCACCACGGCCGGCCCCCCACCCCUUCAACUCUGGCGACCACCAUGACCGGCCGGCCUCCCUCCCCUUGAGGUCAGGGCAACCCUCGCCGGAUCCGGUCGGCCCCUUCUUCACCGGAGGGCUCUCCUCUCCGGCCACGACUCCGGGAGGCCCCCUCCGGCGACCGUCACCGCCGCCACCACGUCCUCACCAGCACCACCAUCAUCACCGCGCCAUCACCACCGUCGCCUCCGCCUUCCCGCGAACUCCGGCUUCACCGGGCCGUCUCAUCAACGUUGGUGAGCCCCUCCUCGGGCUCCUCCCACCAUCGUGUUCCCCUCACCGUCCCGGUUCCGUUCCGGCAAACGGGGCUCCGAUCCGUCGACGUUUGACUCCGGUAGGAGGACAUGAAGUUGGCUCUCUUCUAUGUUGAGGAAGUUAACACAGACUCUCUGUUGUGUUCUUUGUUGUCUGUUAACAGAGAGAGAUGAGAGUGUUAAGAGUUAAAAGAAAAUAAAAUAAAAGAUGUAUUAGAUGUCGUAUGUAUGUAUGUAUGUAUGUAUGUAUGAGAUGCGAUGUAUGUAUUGCGUAUAUAGGUAUUUGGAGGUAUACGAUAAUUGCAUGGUUAUGUACCUGUGAAAAAAAAUGAGUAUAUGGCCUAAGGUCACUUACCGGUGGGGCCAACGGACCCGCUGUCUAUGACAGGGAGGCCCCACACGAUAGUUAAAAAUAAGUAAAAAUAAUGUUAAUGUUUUUAUUAAAUAAAUAAAUAGAUGUAUUAGUUAAAUUAAUUAAUUGGAUAAUUAGAAUAAUGAGAGUAUGACACGUGGGUCCCCCACUAAAUUAAUCUGAUUAAUUGAUAUUUAAUCUUAAUUAAAAUUUGUGCCUAUGACGUUCGGGACCCGCUGGUCAGUUGACGAGUCAACUGUUGAUGUCAGCAUGACAUCAUGCUGAUGUCAUAAUAGCUUUUGAUUAAAUUAUUUAAAUCUGUUUUUAAUUCCUAAUUAUUGAUUAAAACUUUAAAAAUUAAUAUUAAAUAAUCCGUAAGUCAGAUCAAAAUAUUUUCAACAUGAAAGUUGAUUAGCAGAACGAGACGAACCCGGGUACGCUAUCCGUUCGUGUGUCACGCAUCCCUAGCAUAACAAACGUGUAUCUUUUCACUCAUUUUUCAUCUGACCGGUAGUAGCCACAGACCCAGAAAUAUCAUCUGAUAUUUUCCCGAUCCGUCUGUGACGGAUGUUACCGCGUUAGCUCAUGUCUAGCCUGCAUCUUGCCAUGUCAUGCUUUGUGCUGCACCGUUGCUAUUAUUUAUUGUUUCUUCCCACUCUUCUUACCGGUAGACCCCGAGACUGACGCUGCUGGCGGGUACAUCUACGACCCUGCAGAUCAGUCCUUUGCCGCGGAGCAGCAAGGCAAGCAAACCCCCCUUGAUCAUUCCUAUAUCGCCGAUGUCUUUCUUCCUACUGCUUGCAUUAGUAUUUUGCUACUGUUGUAGUUAGCUCGUAUAUCUGAUGCAUAGCCUGUUUUUGAUGAACUGCUACUUUCAGUCAUGUACCUUUAAUAUGCUUAGUAUAGGUGGAGCAGUCAUCCCCUCUGACCCCGUAGUCCAGUUGCCUCGCUUGUUGUCAAAUCUCGAUCUCUGAUCGACGAACCAGACCCGACACAGCACAUUCACCCCCUUCGUUGUACGACGCUAUAGAGAUACUAUCGGGUACCGAGGGUGACACCUCGCUAAGUACUCCUGAUGAUAUCUCUGUAGUAUAGCUAGUCGGUCGUGGUUAUCGAGGGUGAUUCCUCUUUCACCAUUCCCGAUGACGCCUCUGUUGUGCAACCCCUCAAGUGUGGGACCCCCGAGGGUGAUUCCUCUAAGCCCACCUUGACGGGUACAUCGUUCGGAAUCCAACGAGGGUGAUACCUCGGAUUCCCCCCCCCCCCUCCCCCGAUGUUACAACCACACAGUUACUCGACCAUGUUACUGGGAUCUUUGGUGAUUAGUUGUAAGACGGGUGGAUUCCCGUGAGACUGUGUUGAUGGCCUAAUUAAAAUGCUAAUGGAUUUGGGUAUUUGAUCUGGGUUGGUCGGAGACCUUUUCGCACUAACCGGCUACGCGGGAAGAAUUAUGGGUACUCGGCGUCGCGGUAUCAGCCGAAGCUUUUCAGAUGUCAGCAAUUGUAGUGGCGCGCGCCCGAGUGGUCCCGAGAUGCAUUGCGCUUGUGAGUAAGGGAUGCUAGGACUGACGUCGGCCGCCCUCGCAUCGUGCAGGAGCAUGGAGGGGAACUCGGCCCAUGAACCCUUUGCGCUUAGGAUUUAGACCGGCGGGCUGACCUCUCUGAUUAGUCUUAGGUGGGGCUGCGACGUGUCGAUAUUCCGAGGCCGGGCAGGACCCAGAAAAGUAUGUCCGGCCAGAGUGUUAUCGAGCGUGACGGGACAUGUGGUGCACCCCUGCAGGGAUGAAAAUUAACUAUUCGGAUAGCCGUGUCCACGGUUACAGGACGACUUGGAGUUGUGCCCCGAUCUUAUACAACUAAAAUUGUUACUUAACUGGAAUUAGUUUGCCUCGGGAUUGCUUCCUCGCAGGGAGUCGAGGGAGGAUCUUCAGGCGCGACCUCACUUUAAUAUUGCUGCAACAAUAUGACUAUUAAUGUGUUACCCCCUGUUCUACUCUCGUCUAUUGCUGCAAGACCCUGAAGAUGCUAGCCUUCGAUAGGACUAGGCCUUUUCUCUCUAUUCUCGCUUUGCUGCAGUCAGUCCACAUAUAACACCCCCCAUUCUUUGAUACUGAUGCAUAUUUAGAAUAGUUCUGAUGUAAGACUUGCGAGUACUUUGGAUGAGUACUCACCGCUGCUUUGAUCCCCCCCUUGUCCCCUUGAUCCGUUUGCUGCGACCAGAUGAUGGAGCCCAGGAGUGAAGUUUCCUGCCGACGCCUGCCGUCCCGAUGGUGUCUUCUUCAUGGAGGCCGCUGAUGAUCAGGAGUAGUUAGGAGGUUCCCAGGCAGGAGGCCUCGCCUCGUUCGAUCGUUGUAUCUUUUGUGCUAGCCUUCUCUAAGGCACCCCAUGUUUUAUGUCUGUACUCAGAUAUUGUUGCUUCCGCUGACUCGUGCGGUUAUCGAGCUUCCAUAUUCUAGCCCUCGAGGCCCCUGGCUUGUAAUAUGAAGUUGAUGUUAUUUUAUUUGUGUCUAGAGUUGUGUUGUGAUAUCUUCCCGUGAGUCCUUGGGUUUGAUCGUACGCAUUUGCGUGUAUGGUUAGCGUACGAUUAAAUCGGGGGCGUCAGAAGUUGGUAUCAGAGCCGACUGCCUGUAGGUAGCCCCCUUUCCAACUCCUUGGCUGAAGUUGAGUCUAGUGUUUGAAAAACUUUACUAACACUGAUGUUGUGGCUUACGGGCCCACAUCUCAAUUGGGUGGUAUUAGUAUCUUUUACUCCUUUCCUAUACUCUGGGAUUCUACUCUCUCUUCUCUUUCGGGACAAAGAUUUUGCUAACUCUAACAUUAGAUUCUCGUAAAUACUUCCUCCCGGAGAGCCCCGUAUUCCAGACGAUGGCUUUAUCCCUGAGAAGAACUGCAGUUACUCUUCGAUGUUCUCUUGAGCUGUUGCGCUCAUUGCUUCUGCAAUUUCCCUUCCUCCGUCAACCCCUAUGGAUGAUGACAUACAAAUGUCGUCCAUACUUUCUUUUCCAAUUGCUCUUGUUAUACGAGAUGCAACGAAUUAUCUUAUUGGGGAUUCGGCCAUCAUCAGUUGUCAUGGAUUUCGAAAGUUCUUUGACUUACUAUUCGGUCUUUCGAAAUCCUCCGUAGCCUAUUGCUCUUGGCUUUUCUCACCAACUUGCAUUAUAGUUAAAUCCAUAUGUCUAGCAGCAUUCAUUAAAAUCCUUUGUGAUUUUCCUCUGAUCUUAUUGACUCAACCUCUGUGUGAAUGAACACAAUCAUCUGAGGAUACUUAUGUAAUUUUCUUUCCGACUCAGACGUCCUUUCAAACAGAACUGGUUCCCGGCAAAUCANAUGAUACGCCAACCUGGAAAUGAUAAUUCCUUUGGUGAUUAAGUAUCGGUAUUUUUCAAAUGUUGUGUAAACUAAUGCAUUGCAUCCUGUCUCCCUCUGAUUGAGUACCGAUACCCACAUCAGGUCCUUUGUGGAUUGUCAGACUCAUCAUGGGUUAUUAUCCAACGACAUCUUUUGCUUUCGAAAAUUCUUGUGAUUGCUUUCUCUGAUACAUGAUGCCAUUGGUAAAUUGUGUCUUCUCCCUUUGAUAAGUUGUACCAUACAAUUUGUCAGCCAUGCCCUUCAAGCAUGUGUUAUUUACUCUUGAAGUUUGUGGUAUAUGUUCCUAAGAUGCCCCGAUGGGUUGAACCUAUGCCUUCCUAAAUCAAUAUGACCCGAACAGUUUUCACGAGUCUUACUCUUCUGGUGUUAUGCCGAAUAUUCUUUCAAAGCUACAACCUGAUCAAAGGCGAGGAAUAAAUGGCAGGUGAUGCAUUGAUGAAGUGGGAGUCGACCUUGAAAUUUGUGUUCAUGCCCAUGGAAACGACGUUGAUCCUAUCAUACAAACUCCUCGUAACAAUAAUCAAUAAUUCUAUGAUUUGAUCUGGUAUCUGUCAUUUGGUACCUUGCAAUCGUGGUUCCGACCAUGUUGUCCUACCUUGAUUUUAUUCUCAGGCGAGUUAAAGGUACUUGUCUUCUUCAGAUCAACACAUCGUCCCAAGCCUUAACGUUGAUCUACCUUCGAGUAUUAUCCCUCGUACCUCGAGGAUAUCACGGAGCUACAUAUUUUCUUGUGAGCUCCUCAUCAACUAUGAUAUUUUCAUUAAUUCCAGUUUUUCCUCGUGUUUGAGUUGUUGGACACGCGAGUACAUCGAUAAUGGAAUCGAGUAUGCAUUACGAUUCAACAAUUUUUAGUAGUCUUCCUUGUUUAUGAGUUUGUACUCGAUCCUGUCAUUCCAAGUUGUUAAGCUACAUCAUCAUCGUCCUGUUGGAGCUCGACCAUGCUAUCUGUACCCUUCAUCCCUGGAACAUAAUUCAAACGGUGCGUUAAGCUUGCGUCGAGCUUUCUACGUCAUGUUGGUUGUCUUGAAAAGGCAAUCUCAAUUCUAAGCUAGCAGUCUUAUCUGUGAUUCCGACAACCUCUUGCUUCAUCAUUCCCUUGCUUGAUGUCGUCGCUGAUCGAUUACAUCUUCGUGAAGCUUCUCGACAAAUGUGUCGUGAUCACCAUCAGCAUUCUGAGCUCUUGCACGGUAUCGACCGAAUGCCUGAUGAGAAAUACCAUCCUUGCCCUUCGAUGAUAUGUGUUAUCGUCGACAACCUUCUUGCCUUCCCUCCUACACAAAUGUGUUCAUGUUUUGUGUUGUUCUUCGAGUUCCUUGCUAAUUCAGCUUAUGUCACCUUCUACCUUGGAGUAUUACUACCUUUUCUGUCAAGGAUGUCGUGAAACUUGCACACAUCUUAAGAAUUCUUGAUAUAGUAAUACUUCUCGCCAUCACCCUUCAUUUCUUGGUCCCGUGUUGUUUCUAACCGGAAUACCAACAAGUGAACUCUGAUGUGUGAUUCCAAUACUUCUGGCAACCCUAUUGCCUUGAGGUUAACAGCUGAUUAUUUCAAUUUUAGUGUGUUGGGUGAUGACUCGUCAUUUUUGACAUUGGUUGUACUACUCUAUCCGUAUUCCCGGGUGCACCCUUUGACCAAUGUUUAAGUUAUUGUUGUUCCCUCGAGCAUACGACAUUAUACCAAUUGUUUGGACAAAAACUAUCUCCUUCAUAUUGUAAUUUUGGGAAUUCAUCCCUGUCAUAAUUUUGAGGGAUUAUUGCUGAGCCCAUCAGCCACACCCUCAACUUCUCCAUGUUCCACGAUGAAACUCUUGAAAGGAUUAUACUUGUGUCUAGCUCAUGAAGAAUGUGCUUGAUAUCAGAAAUGUUUCCCCAAAGCUUAUGUGCAUUCUUGCCACCGUGAAUAUGUGGUAAGUUUUGUUUCGCUUCCUCUCAAGAAAUACCAAAUCAUUCACGCAUGUGCGAAGUGUUAUAUGUUUUGAAGAUUUGUUAUCUUCACUUCAUAUAACUUCUCUUAGCACGCGAAGCCACUGACUGAUUUGAUCAAGGAAAAGAGGUUUCUUCAUAAGAGCUAUCGGGGCUUACGCAAGGGCCUUGAUAUCCUCGAUGAUGGUUCUCAAAUCACAACUCACUUGCUUUUCGUCGUAAGAAUUUCAUGUGGGCCCGAAUGUCUUGACAUUGUGUUCAUAUGUAUUAAAUCGAACUCAUGGUUCAAAAAUUGCUCGUGUAGUUCAUAUCCUGAGGAUCCUGCAUCAUCAUCUUUUCUUCUCAGGCAUCUUGAGUCUGAGGUGUCCCGACACCAAUCAGAUCUGAAUCUCAGGCGGAUAUGAUGGUUGGAACAUUUUCCCAAUAAUUAUAACUUUGGUCUUUAUGUAACCUGGUACGGUGAUGUCUUGUCGGGCAUACCAGGCCGCAGGACCUAUUACUCUAAAUCUUUCCAUAUGUAAGGUUUGCCAUUCUACCAUGAGGAAAUUGUAUAACUUAGCUUCGUAAGUUGUUCCUCAUGGUUCCUCUUUGAAUACCCAUAAGUACAACCUUUAUCUGAUGACCAUGUCGAUACUACCCCGAAGCACGGAUGUGGCACUUCAAAUUUCAACAGGAACAUUGGAAGCGCAAUGCUAAAUUGUUUCUGAUCAAGUAUCCAGACCGUGUGGUAUGGGUAAUCAUCAUGGUUCUUCUUGACUCUUUAUCAAAAUGGUUAUGUACUGGAUGACCUAUCGUGUAUACCAUACCCUAUGUUUUCCUCGGGAAUGGUAUACUUUAGGUUAUUUGUGUGUCUGAACACAUUUUCCUUCCUAUUGGUCUGUCUGACUUUUUCCGUGGCAUAACUUAUCUAAGCAGUGUUAAUUCCCUGCUUAGGUAAAAUUAUCGGUAUACGACUCUGUCGGUAAGACCCUGUUACUAUUAUGGAUAACAUUCCGGUAGCCACCGGUGGACGAGGACUUUGCCUAUUGGCCCGCCUCGUUUCAACGAGCAGGAAGAUGGUUCUAUUCGUCCCCCGCCCUUGGUACCGAUGUUGUUCCAACAUAACUGACAGGUUAUCCUCUGACAUGUCUUGCUACCAAGGCUGUAUAAUAUGUCACCCCUCUACCUACUCCCGGCCCACAUGGUGGACCCAUAACCCAAAAUUCCACAGGAUUGAAAUCUGGCCCUCCUGUACAUCUUUGACUCCAAAGUAUCCUUUGCACUUGGCUCAUAUGGAAUUCCAGAGCCAUCGUUCAAUGGACCAAUCACUCUUCGGUCCGGAUAUUAUUCAACAUGCUAAACAUCAAGUUCGCAUUAAUUACGACAAUCUGAAGGUUGCUCGGUCUCGUCAGAAGAGUCAGUAUGACCGUCAUCCUCAAGAUAUGGUCUAUCAACCUGGCGAAAAGACAUAUCUUCGUGUCACACCAAUGAGAGGCGCACACCGUUUUGUAAUCAAGGGCAAGUUAGCUCCUCGCUAUAUUGGUCCUUUCACUGUUCUCGAAACGCGUGGAAGAGUGGCUUAUCAAUUGGAACUCUCGGCGAACCUUUCUCACGUUCACGAUGUCCUCCAUGUGUCUUAGCUCCGCCAUUGCUUCAAUGAUCCUAUUCGAGCAGUGGAUCAUGAUAUGCUUGAGAUUCAACAAGACCUCUCUUAUAAGGAGCAUCCGAUCUGCAUUCUCGACCAAGCUGAACGUAAGACUCGUCGCAAGGUCACCAAGUUCCUUAAGGUGCAGUGGUCAAAUCACUCUGAAGAUGAAGCCACUUGGGAACGCGAGGAUCGUCUUCGUGAUGAAUACCCCGGGCUCUUUCCCUCUACCUCUUAAUUCUCGGGACGAGAAUUCUUGUUAGUAGGGGAGAAUUGUGACAUCCUCGACUUUUGCUACAGUAAAUAUUGUAAUUAAGCUACAGUGAUCACCCGCAAAUGAUGCCACAUCAUCGAGAAUUACCGUCGUUGACCCGCAUUGAAUUUCUAUCUGGAUCCAGAAAUUGAAAACAAAAGAUAAUUAUAUUUAUAAAUUCAUAUUAACUAUUAAAGAAAGAAAGUAUUAAAAAUAAUAAUGAUAAAAGAAAGAAAAGAAAUUAAAAAGAAAAAAAGAAAUUAGAAAGAAGAAAUAAUAGAAAAGGAAAACAAAACAAAACAAAACAAAACAAAAAAAAGAGGAAACCCCCCCACCCCCCUAGCCGACAGGGCCAAAGUGGCCCAGCCGAUCCAGCCCACCCCGCACCCCCCCCCCUCAAACCCUAGGGCGAGGGAGCCCCUCCCCUGCCUCGCUCCCUCCCUCCCACUUGCGCCGCUGCCAGGGGCUCCCUUCCCUCGUCGCCCGCACCACCCCUCGUGGGGGGGCCCACCUCCCACCGACACCCCUCCCUCUCGUAACCCCCUCCCCAUGAGAGGCUCUCUCCCUCCCAGUUCCCCCACGCACCAGACCCCCCACGAUCUCCCUCUCCCACCCUGAGCCCUCCUCUCCAACUCGCCCCCACCCCGGCCGGCGAGCUCCCCCCACCGCCGGCCUCUCCCUCCACCGGCCUCUUCCUCCCCACCCCGAGGCCUCCUCCUCCCCUCGUGCCUCCAGAUCUCCCUCCCUACCCCGAGGCCUCCCUCCUCUCGGCCUCGCCUCACUCCCCACCGGCCAUCCCGACAACCACCUCGCCCCCCCCCCUUCAACUCCGGCGACCACCAUGACCGGCCGGCCUCCCUCCCCUUGAGGCCGAGGCAACCCUCGCCGAAUCCGGCCGGCCCCUUCUUCACCGGAGGGCUCUCCUCACCGGCCACGAUUCCGGGAGGCCCCCUCCGGCGACCGCCACCACGUCCUCACCGGCACCACCGUCAUCACCGCGCCAUCACCACCGUCGCCUCCGCAUUCCCGCGAACUCCGGCUUCACCGAGCCGUCUCAUCAACGCUGGUGAGCCCCUCCUCGGGCUCCUCCCACGAUCGCGUUCCCCUCACCGUCCCGGUUCCGCUCCGGCAAACGGGGCUCCGAUCCGUUGACGUUUGACUCCGGUAGGAGGAGAUGAAGUUGGUUCUCUUCUAUGUUGAGGAAGUUAACACAGACUCUGUGUUGUGUUCCAUGUUGUAUGUUAACAAAGAGAGAUGAGAGUGUUAAGAGUUAAAAGAAAAUAAAAUAAAAGAUGUAUUAGAUGUCGUAUGUAUGUAUGUAUGUAUGAGAUGCGAUGUAUGUAUUGCGUAUAUAGGUAUUUGGAGGUAUACGAUAAUUGCAUGGUUAUGUACCUGUGAAAAAAAUGAGUAUAUGGCCUAAGGUCACUUACUGGUGGGCCCAAGGUACCCGAUGUCUAUGACAGGGAGGCCCCACGCGAUAAUUAAAAAUAAGUAAAAAUAAUGUUAAUGUUUUUAUUAAAUAAAUAAAUAGAUAUAUUAGUUAAAUUAAUUAAUUGGAUAAUUAGAAUAAUGAGAGUAUGACACGUGGGUCCCCCACUAAAUUAAUCUGAUUAAUUGAUAUUUAAUCUUAGUUAAAACUUAUGCCUAUGACGUUCGGGACCCGUUGGUCAGUUGACGAGUCAACUGUUGAUGUCAGCAUGACAUCAUGUUGAUGUCAUAAUAGCUUUUUAUUAAAUUAUUUAAAUCUGUUUUUAAUUCCUAAUUAUUGAUUAAAACUUUAAAAAUUAAUAUUAAAUAAUCCGUAAGUCAGAUCAAAAUAUUUUCAACAUGAAAGUUGAUCAGCAGAACGAGACAAACCCGGGUACGCUAUCCGUUCGUGUGUCACGCGUCCCUAGCAUAACAAACGUGUAUGUUUUCAAUCGUUUUUCAUCUGACUGGUAGUAACCACAGACCCAGAAAUAUCAUGUGAUAUUUUCCCGAUCCGUUUGUGACGAAUGUUACCGCGUUAGCUCAUGUCUAGCCUGCAUCUUGCCAUGUCAUGCUUUGUACUGCACCGUUGCUAUUAUUUAUUGUUUCUUCCCCCUCUUCUUACCGGUAGACCCCGAGACUGACGCUGCUGUCGGGUACAUCUACGACCCUGCCGAUCAGUCCUUUGCCGUAGAGCAGCAAGGCAAGCAAACCCCCUUGAUCAUUCCUAUAUCGCCUAUGUCUUUCUUCCUACUGCUUGCAUUAGUAUUUUGCUACUGUUGUCGUUAGCUUGUAUAUCUGAUGCAUAGCCUGUUUUUGAGAACUGCUACUUUCAGUCCUGUACCUUUAAUCUGCUUAGUAUAGGUGGAGCAGUCAUCCCCUCUGACCCCGUAGUCCAGUUGCCUCGCUUGUUGUCAAAUCUCGAUCUCUGAUCGACGAACCAAACCCGACACAGCACAUUCACCCCCUUCGUUGUACGACGCUAUAGAGAUACUAUCGGGUACCGAGGGUGACACCUCGCUAAGUACUCCUGAUGUUAUCUCUGUAGUAUACCUAGUCGGUCGUGGUUAUCGAGGGUGAUUCCUCUUUCACCAUUCCCGAUGACGCCUCUAUUGUGCAACCCCUCAAGUGUGGGACCAUCGAGGGUGAUUCCUCUAAGUCCACCUUGACGGGUACAUCGUUUGGAAUCCAACGAGGAUGAUACCUCGGAUUCCCCCCCGAUGUUACAACCACACAGUUACUCGACCAUGUUACUGGGAUCUUUGGUGAUUAGUUGUAAGACGGGUGGAUUCCCGUGAGACUGUGUUGAUGGCCUAAUUAAAAUGUUAAUGGAUUUGGGUAUUUGAUCUGGGUUGGUCGGAGACCUUUUCGCACUAACCGGCUACGCGGGAAGAAUUAUGGGUACUCGGCGUCGCAGUAUCAGCCAAAGCUUUUCAGAUGUCAGCAAUCGUAGUGGCGCGCGCUCGAGUGGUCCCGAGAUGCAUUGCGCUUGUGAUUAAGGGAUGCUAGGACUGACAUCGGCCGCCCUCGCAUCGUGCAGGAGCGCGGAGGGGAACUGGGCCCAUGAACCCUUUGCGCUUAGGAUUUAGACCGGCGGGCUGACCUCUCUGAUUAGUCUUAGGUGGGGCUACGACGUGUCGAUAUUCCGAGGCCGGGCAGAACCUAGAAAAGUAUGUCCGGCCAGAGUGUUAUCGAGCGUGACGGGACAUGUGGUGCACCCCUGCAGGGAUGAAAAUUAACUAUUCAGAUAGCCGUGUCCACGGUUACAGGACGACUUGGAGUUGUGCCCUGAUCUUAUACAACUAACAUUGUUACUUAACUGGAAUUAGUUUGCCUCGGGAUUGCUUCCUCGUAGGUAGUCGAGGGAGGAUCUUUAGGCACGACCUCACUUUAAUAUUGCUGCAACAAUAUGACUAUUAAUGUGUUACCCCCUGUUCUACUCUCGUCUAUUGCUGCAAGACCCUGAAGAUGCUAGUCUUCGAUAGGACUAGGCCUUUUCUCUCUAUUCUCGCUUUGCUGCAGUCGGUCCACAUAUAACACCUCCCCUUCUUUGAUAUUGAUGCAUAUUUAGAAUAGUUCUGAUGUAAGACUUGCGAGUACUUUGGAUGAGUACUCACCGCUGCUUUGAUCCCCCCUUGUCCCCUUGAUCCGUUUGCUGCGACCAGAUGAUGGAGCCCAGGAGUGAAGUUUCCUGCCGACGCCUGCCGUCCCGAUGGUGUCUUCCUCAUGGAGGCCGCUGAUGAUCAGGAGUAGUUAGGAGGUUCCCAGGCAGGAGGCGUUGCCUCAUUUGAUCGUUGUAUCUUUUGUGCUAGCCUUCUCUAAGGCACCCCAUGUUUUAUGUCUGUACUCAGAUAUUGUUGCUUCUGCUAACUCGUGUGGUUAUCGAGCUUCCGUAUUCUAGCCCUCGAGGCCCCUGGCUUGUAAUAUGAAGCUUAUGUUAUUUUAUUUGUGUCUAGAGUUGUGUUGUGAUAUCUUCCCGUGAGUCCUUGGGUUUGAUAUUACGCAUUUGCGUGUAUGGUUAGCGUACGAUUAAAUCGGGGGCGUCACACAUCCCCACCUGGAUACCGCGCCACCUCGAGCCCAUCGUCGCCGUGUUUGUAAAUUCUUUGUAUAUUUUCAAAUAUUCACAUUUUCAAAUUUUCAAAUGUAGCUAAGAUGACAUUUAGUACAUAGCUCAUUUUGCAUUGCUAAACUCGUGCACAUUGCUUACUGUCAUGAAAAUAUCUUACAGUACCAUCUUGAUAUCCGAAGCGGUGUCAUCACAUUGCUUACUUUUCACUAACUCGUAGAAUAACAAAAAAGGUAUGCAAAAUCAUAGUACACGAAUAAACUAUGCUAAACUCUUGGGAGUUUCACAGGUAACAAAUCAAAACUAAAUGCCAUAAGUGUCCACGCUAAACUCUUGAAAGUUUUUGUAUAGAAUCCGUUGUUUGACAUUCAUGAGAGAGGCGGUCCGGAUGUCGUACAUUCAUAUUUGUAUAUUAAUUGCCAUGCUGUAAUAUUUGCAGAAACUAUGGAUCAAAGAAACUUGGAAGAAGAACGUUUGUUGGGUGAGAUAAUCCGCGAUGGAGUUGAGAUUGAUUAUUAUCUCAAUGACAUCGAUGGUCUGGAAGGAGAGGAUGACGGCUUCGGUGAUCGAACAAUGGAGGAGGAAGGACAUGAUCAUGAUGGCUCCGGUGACCGAAUGUCGGAGAAAGAAGGAGAACAUGAUGACGGCUCGGGUGACCGAACGGAGGAGGGAGCUGUUGCAAGUUUGGAUCGAGCCAAACUUCAGUUGGGAGACAAGGCCCGAAGAGAAGGUUGCGCAAGGAUGAAAAGUUCAUGGUCAUAGAACCCCCUGACGAUGGCCUACCGAAUCAACCAAAGCGGACCAAGGAUGCAUUUUAUGCUCAGUGCGGAGCUAUUGUUAGGGACAACAUCCCGAUUAGCAUCAAGCAAUGGAAUAAAACUAAGGGUGACGACAUCCCUGAAGGUGAUUAUGUCACCGAUAGGCAGAAAGAUGAUCUUUGAAUCGCACUGAAGGAAAAUUUCAUCCUACCGCCAGAGGAGGAUCCUAAUAAUCCAUUUAUAGAGCAACUGGUCAAGGCGUGUGCUCUUAAGAAGAUGGCAUAUCUAUUGAGGAGGUGGAGGAAAGAGUUGAAAGCAAAGUUUAUUGACAAAGAGAAGACUCCAGAAUUCAUCGAUCGAUUUGAGAAGAUGAGAGAUCACUGGCCCGCAUUUGUGGCCUACAAGACAUCGGACAAGAAUAAGGAAAUGUCAGAGACAAACAAGAAAAAUGCUGCAUAGAGACAGCAUCACCAUCACACGGGGUCAGGUGGCUACCUCAAAUCCCGUCUGUUGUGGGACAAAGCUGAUAAUGACCUGAUUAAUAAAGGGGUCGAACCACAGACAUUGAACUGGCCAGACCGUUCAAGUACUUGGUUCUUCAGGGUUGGGGGAACUUUGGACCCUGAAACAGGGAAGUGUCGUUCGACGAACGAGCAACUUGCAAUACCUAUCAACAAGCUUCAAAAGUGUAUCACCGCAGCACAUGAAGGGACAUUCAUUCCCGACACAGAGAAGGACGAGCUGACUGAGGCCCUAGGGAAUGCUGAGCACCCUAGACGAACACGAGGGACACCAGGCUCCGUUCCAUGGAAGGUUGGGUUUCCCGGUGAGGCGGUUACAGAAGCCGAGAGAGAAAGAGGAAAGCAGAGCUGGGCGACAUGCAGAAGAUCAAUGCAAGACUACAAAAGCUAGAGGAACUUGAGAGACAGCAAGCUACCCUGCCAUCUUAGUGGAGAAGCAGUGUGGCUUCCACGGAGCUCGUUCAGCCUGACUUCGUGGCUCCUAGCUACCCCGUGGAUACUAUCACGGAGGCUCAACAUUGCGAGCUUAUGACAAAAUGCCGAAACCUCACUUUCAAGGCUGCUAUCGGCUCUAUUCCACCUCCUCAACCCAACGGAACUUUUCACUGCCUUCCGAUUCCACAUGGCUUUGAUGCUGUGAUGGUGGAUAAAGUAAUGGAGGGAUUUGAGGAACUUGAGCUUGACCACCCUAUAGGUGAAGGGGAGAAUAAGUUGGUUCAUGCUGUGAGGAGUACAUGUCUAUGGCAGAAGGAGUACAUCAAGCUUCCAAACUGGAUGCCUCCGGCGAGUCAGGGCACUCCGCCUCCUCCUCCUCCUCCUCUUCCUCCUCCUCCUCCGGCGAGUAUUUAGGGCACUCAUCCUCCUCUGGCGAGUGAUGAGGGCACUCAUCCUCCUCCUCCGGUGAGUGAUCAGGGCACUCAUCCUCCUCCUCCGGCGAGUGAUCAGGGCACUCAUCCUCCACCUCCGGCGAGGGAUCAUGGCACUCAUCCUCCUCCUCCGGCGAGUGAUCAGGGCACUUAUCCUCCUCCUCCGGCGAGUGAUCAGGGCACUCAUCCUCCUCCUCCGGCGAAUGAUCAGGGCACUCAUCAUCCUCCUCCGGCGAGUGAUCAGGGCACUCAUCAUCCUCCUCCUCCCCCGGCGAGUGACCGGGGCACUCAUCCUCCUCCUCCGACGAUGACGACGACGGUGACGAGUGAUCAGGGCACUCUUCGUCCUCCUCCUCCUCCUUCUCUCAAGCGGAAGAGAGAAAACGCCGCUCCGGCGGCUAGCAGUGAUGCAAGGUUAGCAAAACGAAGAAGUGGGAAAACAAUUCCCCAGUUUGGCCAACAUGAGAAGCAAUCGUGCCCCCCGCUCAAGGUGUCCAGCGAUAUCGUCGCUAAUCCUCCGUGGAUGGUGCCCGGUACCAAUCCUGGUGAUUACUUGGGGGAUGAUGUAAUUUUCCAAACGGUUGAGUUAAAAGAAGAAAAAUAUACAUACAUGCAUGCGAAGCCUCUCGACAAACCUAGUCAUCCUCCUCUAACACCGAUGAUGCACAAAUUGCAUGAGUGGUACAUGAAUACCUGCAUGAAUUCUGGGAGAGACACUCUCUAUAUGGAAGUGAAACGAAAGCACGAAUUCAUUGGAGCUCAAGUGAUGCCUGUUGAAUUUGGGGAGUUGUUUCAGUUAUACAAUCAACUGGCCCUAGACAAACAAGUCGUGACUUCCUACUGUUUGUAAGUAUUAAUUACUUCUAUAGUUAAGUCUCUAGCUCAGCUCGUUCAUUGCAUGUAUAUAUAAUUAUGCUUGCCAUAUAUAUUAUGCAGAUUGAAGAUCGUCGAAUUAAAAAAAAACAGGAAUCUUCGACGUUGGGUUCAUUAGCCCAGAUUCCUUCAAUUCAUGGUCGGUACGACGCGCAACCAAAGAGAUCGAGGACAACUUGCUAAAGUCGUUCCUUGUAAAUCAAAACAAAAGGGAAAUACUCUUUCCUUACAACUUCAGGUGAGUGUUGAUGUCUUCUCUGUAUACACGGUUUCGCUUUACUCGAGGUUAAGUAUAAUGUAAUUGAUGAGUUAUAUAUGUGUGUGCAGUUACCACUAUAUUCUGCUAUCCAUUAAGCUUGACGGGGCAAAAGUAACUGUCUUAGACUCGAGACGUAAAGAUCCCGAUUAUUAUGCGGACAUGACUGCAAUGCUCAAGAAGUAAGUUCAGUCAAUACCGGGUCCAUAUCAGCAUGCAACUUUCGUUAAUUUCCUGAUAUCAAGUAAUCAUUUUCUUUGCCUGACAGGGUUUGGAAGAAAUUCACCAAUAAGGUUCCCGGUCUAAAAAAGAGUUGCAAUUUACGCACCCCAAAGUAAGUAGUACUAGCUAGUUUUGCGCAUCUGUAAUUGAUUCAAAUUUUCAUCAAUAUAUCAUUACCAUGCUUGCUUAUCAAUUUGAUUGAACUCUAUUCUCGUAAAAUGCUUGUACCAGGACAGUGGGACUGAGUUAUGUUCAUUCUACGUAUGCGAGCUAAUUCGCCUCUCGACCUCUGAGCGGGGGCAUUUCUGAGGAACAAUAUCAAGUACGUAAAUAAUAUUCACAAUUUUGUUUUAUAUAUUACCAUCAAUUGUGUUGAGUUUUAUUCAUAUAUGUGCAUGUAUUGACACCCUUCUUUAAAUUAGAUCUCGCAGAUGCGGGAUUAAGUCCUAACACAUGAUUGCAUACGGGCAAUACAAGAGGAAUUGGCGGGAUUCUUUCUUGACCACGUCAUAUCUAAAGACGGAGAAUAAUAUUUGGAUUUUUGAUUGGAUCUUAGGUAGAUGAUGUUAGGGAUUGUAAAAGAUGUUAUAUAUAUUGUAAAAGAUGUUAGGGAUUGUAAAUGGUUUCCUUCAUUUUCUUAUUAGCUAGCGUCAAGUUCUUUCUAUAUGUAUAGUAGCUAGCGUCGACCAAGCACGGAGAAAGAGAGGACACUUCUCUCUAUUAGCUAGCUAAAACAAUAUGAAACCACUAAAUUAACCCUCCAAAACCCCAACCCCCUCCCCCCAUUCAAAAAAAAACCAGCUCCGGCUAGAUGCUGACGCGUGGAUUCCAUUUGGUCUCGGUUGGUGUGACAAACCGGGACUAAAGUUCCUCCUGCCUGGGCUCCCCGCAGUGGCCACGUGGAGACACUUUUGUCUCGGUUCGUAAGCCAACCGGUACUAAAGGUUUUGGGCUUUAGUCCCGACCCUUCAGUCCCGGUUCCAGAACCGAGGCUAAUGGGCCUCUAGAACCGGGACAAAUGGGCAUUUUUCUACUAGUGCUAGGGUUUCUGUCUGAUGUCAAACUCGAUGGGUCCGAAAUGUGGAAAUUGGUGACACCGAAUUUGAGUAUGUGGAAUUUGACAGAAUGUUUAUGUGGGAAAAAUGACUGAGUAUUUUGGUGGCUAACUUUUAGCACUCUGAGCAAUCAGUUCAUUUUACUACCUCACCCCCUUUUAAUAGUAUUGGAUUUCCUAUGGACUCAAAAGUGAUUUCUCACAAAUAUAUAAAAUAAAGAGUCGUCUAGCUUGAAGUUUAGCAAAUCCUAUUCCUUUCUUGCAUCAAGGGGCACCUCCAUAGAAGUCUUUAGCCAAAGCAUCUUUUGAACUUUUCUAAAAUAUACUUGGAUAAACAUAUUAGUCCAAUGAUGCAUAUGUUGUGAUCAAUUAUCAAAACCACCCUAGGGAGCAAUUGUGCUUUCAAUCUCCCCAUUUUUGGUAAUGGAUGAUAACAUAUAGAUCAAAGGUUCGACAAAAGAUAUAAUCAAUGAUUAGCAUCGACGCUUUGAGAAGUAUGUGAAAAGCAAGAGCUCCUCCUAAAUUUGUGCAUUAUUUAAAAUUUGUGUUUGAAUGCAAAUGCACAAUUGAUUACGAUCAUGGGUCACUCUUCCAAGUCACAUACAUGUUGGUGGUGCGCAUACAAGAUAAAAUAUGAAUAGUAAGCACAUGACACCAACAAGAUAAGUGAAUGAUCAUCACAUGGAUAGCUAAAUGAUAAUAGUGUAGCAUCAGACAUGAGAAGUGUAUGAUCAAACACAGAAACUAGAUAAAGUCAUCCAAAAGAUCAAAGUUUUUGUAAACCAAAUGAGAGCAAAUAAAAWUCAAAAUACUCACUCUCUCUCUCUCUCUUGAAGUCUAUGAUCUAUACAUUUCUCCCCCUUUGGCAACAAGUUACCAAAAAGUUCAAAAGGUAUAGAACUACUCGUCUCUCUGGGCAGCUGAUGACGGAGUCAACAGGAGAGUGUCCGCGAAGGCUUCGGCUGAAUAUCCUCGAGCUGGAGGAGUGGAUACUAGAGGGGCUUGAGCUGGAGCUGGAGCUGAAGGUGAAGAUGCGUGAGGUGAUGAAGUUUGUCUUGUCUUCGGAGCAGGUACAACAACUGACCUAGGCCUGGUGCUGAACUGAGUAGUGGUGCGAGGAGGCGACUCUUCAUCAUCAUCAUCACCUGAGUGUGGAAUUUUCACUAAGUCAACUUCGUGUUGAAGCUGUUUGGCUAUAGUGUUCAAUCCGUAACCUUCACAUCCAUGUCAUGAAAUUUUGUCUCCACAACCCUCUCAAGGCUCUUCUGAUUUUGCAGAAUCUCCUCGAUGUUCUUCUCCAUGCCUUGGACAGAGAUAACUAGAAAUGCCAUUUUCCCAGCUUGAGUUCUGAGUUGUGGAACUGGUGGUGGCCUAUUUCUAGCAGCCUGAGCUUCUGUUGCCUCUGCUGCCAUUCUGGCUGCAGCAGAGAUGGGAUCAUUGUCAUCCAUUACCACUUCAUUGUCUUCAAACUCUGGUUGAAGAGGUAGAUGGGGACGAACAAGGAGAUAUACAUGCUUGCCUAGCUUGGCAUUGAUAAGCAUCUGAAUGUAUGGUGCAUAUCCACAUGAUCUCUUUUGAUCAGCAGCAGUCCUCCGGAUAGUCUCUACUAUCAAGUCCAUCACUUUGAAUCUGGUGUGGCUGUCCAAAAGGUCCAGCGGGUUUAUGGAGUGUCCUCUAAUCAUCUUAUCAUCACCUAAUUUAGGCAUCAAGGUGUGUCUCAGAAUAGUGUUAGUUGUGGGUAUUCCUGCUUGCAAGAAGUAUACUAAGCACAUCUUGUGACUAGCCAAAUAGUCGUGAGGAAUUGGCUUGUACAUGUUGGACAUAGAGUUGUGACUCUUCUUAGCUUUAGAAUACACAUCAACAUCUCGAUCUUCGUGCUUAGGGGCAACAAUGAUAGUGGCCCACUAAUCAAUUGUUUACUCAUAUCUGUGACCAUCCGUCAUCCAGAUAAUAGAGCCAUCUCCAUAGAAAUGAACAGUAAAGUAGAAUUGCAUGAUCGGCUCAUCAUUCCAUCGGGUCAUCUUCUUUCCAACAAAAUCUUCAACGUCUACUAGCCUGAAAUAUUCUCGGACAUGGGGAAAGAAGUCUUCAUUGGCUUUGAUAUAAACCUAGUCAACAUAUCUCAUAUCACUAAUAGCUGGACAUUUUUCAUACAAGACAGUCUCAUAAAAAUAUUGUUGUUCCUUGGUGUGAAACCUUGGAUCAAUAGCAGUUCUUCUUCUGACAGCAUAUGGAUCAGCAGCUCUCCACUUCCUCAAACCUGCAUCCUUACUUUUCUUCAUGUCUUCAGCUAUUGGAUGAGCAUCAUUAUGAAGUGGCAGAUGUGGUGGGAGCUUCCUAAGAAUGGUUGCAUCCUCAUAAACUUCUUCCUCUGCAGCAAAGGCACGGGAAGUAGGGCCUUUCUCCUUAGCAGCUGCAGUUAUGACCUUUGUGGUCUUCCUAUGAACUACAACCUUCUUUGCCUUGGAUGGAGGCUUAGGAGCAGAUUUAUUGGACAUAGCAUCAGCCAUGAGCUUCUUCUUCUUAGGAGGAGCUCGGAUCUCAUCUGGAACUUCCUCUUCUUCAGCAGCUUCUUCUGGAUCUUCCUACAUAGUAGUCUGUCUCCCCACAAGAUGAACUAUCCUUUUCCUUGCUCUCUUCACACCAGCCUUCUUGGCACGUUCAUCAACGGAAAGUGUUGCGCUUCUCCUUACAUAAGGAGGUGUUCUUAGAUCAACACGAUUAGCAGAUACCUUCCUGAUUGUCUUCCUUGGAGCCUUUGGAGGAGUUGAAGUUUCCUCUGGCACCAAGUCUGAGUCUUCUUCAUCAGAAUUCAGUUUCUUCCUCUGUCUAGUGGCUGCCUUGGGCAAGCCAUGAGAGCAGUAGGAUCUAGGGUCAGAGUCAGUCUUCUCUGGACUAGUACCUGAGUCCAUCUCAACAAUUGGUUCUCUGUAGUCAUUCUCACUAUCUUCUAAUACAGACCUCUUGGCAGACAAGCAAAAACUUAGCAGCAAACAGCAGAACCAGUGAAGUAGAUAUAGGAAAGAAAGAAGGGUUGGGCAUCACAAAAUUCAGAUGUUUUCAAAAAUUUGAACAAAGAUAUCCUUAGUUUUAGCUUUCUGCAGACCACAUUUCGGUAGCAUCAAGUUUGAAUUUUCAGAAUCACCGAGACAAAUGAAAUCCUUAACGUAAACUUUGUAACAUCCCAAAUUUUGGAAUGUUAAUAAAAUUAUAAGAUUGUUUGUUUGUUUGCUUGAGUGAUUGAAACUUGAGUGAAAUUUGAAACUUUUCAAAAACUUUUGAAUGAGAGGGAAUAAAAUGACUUUCCCCUUCUCCGGUAAAUUUAAAUUCAAUCAUUUAAAAACAAAGAGAGAAGAUGACAUGACUUCUUCAACUAUAAAGAAUUUGAACGGAGUUUUGCAAUUGAAUUCUUUCAAAUAUUUGCCCUUGCUUCUCUGUUUUUCAUCCCCGAGAAAUACCAUGAAAAUAAUCCUUGCCAAGCAAGAAAGAGAGGAGGAACAUGACCCUCCAAACCGGGGAUAUUCCUUUGAAAUAUUUGGACCAUAAAACCCAAGGUUUAUUUGAAAACUAUUUGCAAAAAGAAAAUAAACCAAUUUAGGGAUUUUCUAAAAAAAACAAUUUUUUGAAGUAUUUAUUUUGGUAGUGGAAAAAUGUCCAUCUUUUUGGAUUUAUUUUUCUGAAAAUUUUAAUAUAUAUUACCCCUAUAUUCCAAGGAAUAUUCCAUUUCCUUUUAAUCGUUUUAAUUUCCGUUUUAAUAAAAAUUGGAAAGUGGUCUCUUAUUAGGAAGGUACGUGGGCCACUUUAGGAAACAAAUCAGGCCCAUUACUCCUCUUCUUCCUCACGUUCAUUUCCUUCUGUAGCCAUGGCAGAAACUUCCAGGAAGCUUCCCCUCCGGGAUUCGCGAGCUUCUUUCCCUCCUAGCGCCUCCCACCACCCCUAUAAGAACCCCCUCGGCCUCCUCUUUCCAUUCCCCUAAAAAAAAUCUCUGUUUCCCUCCCCGUAACCUCGGUGCAACCAUCGCCAUCUUCUCUGUCGACCGGAGCUUGGCAGGAGCUGAACCACCUCGCCCCCCCACCACGGAGCUCCCUGCCUCGCCCCAGUGCCUUCCCCUACCCCCGCCGGCAACCUCCCCACCUUGCCGGAGCAGCUACCUCGUCGGAGUUCUUCCUCUCUGUCACCCAUGGUGAGAUUCACGAAAUCUCGUAUUGCAGUUUUUUCAGAAAAUUGCGAUCUUAUAAAAUUCAUAUAUAUAUUAGUCUAUAACUCCGAAUUAGGUGAUUCUUUUUGCGUUGGAUCAAAAAUUUAUGUAGAUUCUGUAGAUAUAUAAUUUGGCUAUGUUUGGAUUUAUAAAAUUUGAAUUAGAUCACAUUUGAGUUAAAGCUUGUUUUGCUUAUUCCAGGAGUUUAAAAAUAGAUUUUAAUUUGAUUCUUUUUGCUGCAGCUUCCUAUUGAUCAUAUCUUUCAGUAGUUUAAGUUCCAAUUUUUUAAAAUAUUUUCACUUAGGGUUUUAAGCAAAACAGAUUCUGUUUUAGCCUUUUUUGUUUUCUUGCUAUUUCUUUUGUAUUAAUUGUUCUUAAUUUUUUUUAAUUGUGACAAGUUAUAUUUUGUUUUCUGAUAUUUACCAGUAACUUUUCAACAACAAAAAAAAAUUAUUUUAUUUAUCCUUAUGUGUUUGCAUGGAAUCAAUUCUAGUUCUAUACUAACUUGCGAAUUGAUUGCAUUGCUAGUUUGAUUUCCUAUUUUGAAAAUACUUAUAAAAUAAUAUUGUUUUGUAAAUUUUACUUCUGUUAUCUUAGUUAUUUUAUAUUUUGUUUUCUGUUAUUUUUUCUAUUUUAGUGUUUUAUUUUCAGUUAGAACAAAAACUAUAUAGUGUUUGAUGUAGUAGAAGGCUUCCUAGCUUCUUUGAAGUUUCCUCUGAAUUUUUAUCCGCUCUCUCUUAUUGAUUUUUGAUUGCAUCAACUUUUAUUGUUGUUUGUUAAUUGAUUGCUAGAAUGAUUGCUAGUGUGAGUGCCUAUGUGAAUACUAUGUUUGAUUAUAUAGAUUCAUCGGAGAGUGACGAAUAGUUCUAUCACGUAUUUCCCGAGAACGAAAAUUCUUCUUCGUCAACAUCACGAGGCAAGUCAUUUGAUCAUGUAUCACCUAUGUUUUAUGCAUCGUAGUUCUACCAUCCUAUGCCCAAUUGCAUGCUGACUAGGUACUUGGAAAUUAUGGUUACAUAUUGUAGUAUCAUGUGGUAGGCACCCAACAACCCCGUUACUAGGCUCGGGACGACAAAUUUCAUAUUGCUAUGCUUGAGUAGACGGGAUUCUGGUUGAGAGUUUAUCACGAGUGAUGUGGAAUAAUUUAAUAACCAAGACCGGUUAAGUAAAGACUUUUCAAGACCUCGUGAUGCAAUGCAACUCUGGGUGAAGGACGGUUGAUCGGCUCCCUGGAGAAACCAGUGGAUGACCCGGGAUACUGGAGACGGCCAUGACAUCUUGCGGAAAGCUUCACCCAGGCUCAAAGAGACGGACAUAUAUUUUCAAGACCCAAGGCUUACCUGCACAGCCACAAGUCAUUAUGGGCUCUGGCUUGGUUGGACAACGCGGCGACUCUGGACAGGCGGUGCUAGCAGAUGUGGAAGAACGGUAGGAAUGGAUGGGCACCGACAGGGAUUCAGAGGGACCCGUUGAAAGACCAUGUUUUGAUCAUCCGGUCUUCAAACACCCUGAAGUGCGAGGACAUACACGGAGGCGAUCAAAUCUUGUGGGGAACGUGUGCAAAACUCUGCAGAGUACUCAAACCUAAUCGAUUAGCCGUGUCCACGGUCAUGGACAACUUGAGCCAAAGGAACUGAAGUUAUGUGAAAUUCUCAACACCAUUAUAAAUACUUGAUGAGGGUAAUAUUGAUAACUUGGGUAUGAGAACUGGUUGGCGGAACCAUCUCAUUAACAACCAAUAGCGUAGUAAUAUUUUGCUUUUAGCCCCUCUCUUGUUGUAGGAGAAAACUUGCUUUUCGCUAAAAACUUAUAGCCCCACCUACCAUAUAUGCAUAUAGUAUAGAUGAUUACUUUUCACCCCUCUCCUAUGUGACUUGCUGGCAUAUUCAAUAUGCUGACCUACACGGCUGCAACGUCUUAUGUUGCAGAUAUUUUUCUUCGACGAGUAAGAGUACGAUUCAGGGUUACGGUCUAGACUCAACUUGUCGUUGGUGUUUAUUGGGACUCCACUCCCUUGACUGCUUCCGCUGAGAUAAUUAAGGUAUAUAUCAGUUUUACGCUAUUUACAUGUGAUUGCACUUUGAUAUAUACAUUGAUGUACUGUGUGUGCCAGCAUACUGAUCCAGGGAUGGCACAGAAACACACAGGCUUGACUCGUUUUGAGUCGGGUCGCUACAAACUUGGUCAUCACUUUCGGUGGCACCGAAAAUGACAACUCUGUCUCACUGAGUCCAUUCUCAGUAACCCUAGAUUCAAAUCGGUGGGACCGAGUUUUGCAAUUCACAGGAACCGAGAUGGGUUCUACGGGUGGUUGAACCUAAAAGCUUCUCAUUCGCUAAUCUAUAGGAAUUUAUGGUGGAUGGAGAGGCUUGCACACUAUGGCUUGUGGAUAAAAGUUUUGAUGCGCAUGAGAUAGAUUAGGGAAGCGCAAAAGAAAGGGCGGAUUCAUACCCUAACUCGGGGACAGUCUGGCUACGACGGCGACAGCGGUGAUUCCCAGAGGCGGAGACGCGCGGGGAGUCAAGGGCGACGACUAGGGGAAUGUGUGACUCCUUGAGCUAAUGCAUAUGGUUGAGGUUGAUUGCAUAUAGUUCUUGCCAAAAUGAAUGAGAGUGAAUUUCAUUGGCGGAGUCACCCCUCAAGAACUUUCUAGUUCUUCUUGGGAAUCCACAACAACUUGAUGGGGAUUCUUGGAGUUGUGGUAUCACUAGAUGAGGUAGUGCUAGAAGUGUCCUUGGGAAUCCACUUGACCUUGACUUGGGGUUCUUCUUCAAAUAAGUCAAUGUCAUCUUGAAGCUUUCCCUUGCCCUCGUGGUCUUGUGGUCGAAGGUCAUCAUGUGAGAUUGUUCCUUUGGGAGGAGUAGGAUCAUACUUCUCUUGAGGAGAAAACUUAGGAAUGGGAUAUGGACCUUCUUCCCAAUUAUCUUCGUUAAUGUUGAAGUAGCCAACACCUUGUUUCUUCCGAUGUCCUCCUAGCUUGCGUACAAUUUCCUCAAAUUUCUUACUUCCGGCAAGACUCUUGAAGACACCUCUCUCUAUAAUCCCUUUCAAUAAAUCAUUUUAUUUCUCAAGUGUAACUUGGCUAAGAGAAUCAUUGGUGGAAUCAAGAGAGCUACUAGCAACAACAUCAUUAGAUUUAGCUUUAGCAUGGUUGUUACUAGAUGAAGAAACUUUCUUGACUUUGUUACUAGUGUUCUUAAGUUUAACUUGUGGAACAAAAGUAGACAAGAAUAAUCAUUUGGCUAGAUAAGAAGAACUCUUCUUUCGAAGAUCAUCAUUGAUCGCUUUUAGGAACUCAUGCUCUUGCUCCAAAUUGAGCUUCUCGAAGCGUAGCUUCUCAUGAGUUCUUGCAAGCUCUCUAUAAUCUUCUAGAGUAGUUUCAUGAGCUAACUUAAGAGGGUUUAAUUCUUGAGUUAGUCAUUCAAUCUCUUUAUUAUCAUCAAUAUUCGAUUUCUCUUGACUAGCAUGAUAAUUAGCAAGUUCAUUUUUAGUGCAAUCACUAGCUUUAUCAAAGAGCAAGUCAUCUUAUCCUAACAAGUCAUCCUCAUCACUAUUGAAAUCAAGAUACUCAGGGUGUCAUACCUUGAGGCCUUUAGCCAUGAAGCAGCUUCUGAACCCCUCAUUUUGUGAAUCAAAUAGGUCGUAGGAGUUGGAGGAAACAAGUGCAAUGCCGGCAACACCUUCAUCUUGACUAUAGUCGGAGUUGGAGUGAUAGCUUCUCUCGGAGUGGUUGUCAGACUCAGAACCAGAAACCCAUUCACCAACAUGAGCUUGAUGUCUUCUUAUUGAGAUGCACUUAGUGUAUUUGUCCUUCUUCUCUGAUUCCUUGCCUCUCCGUGAGUGUCUUCAUUCAUAACGAUCUUCUCUACUCCUUCUCUCUCUGCGAGGUGACUCAUCUCUUGAGCUUCGUCUUCGAGGUGACUCUUCUGUCCGUUUGUAGGGAUCUGAGCACUCAUUGGAGUAGUGUCCGGGCUUCCCCCAGUUGUAGCAGUUUCGGUCACGACUGGACGAACGCUUCUCAUCAUGUCUUGAGCUUGAGCUUCUCUCUUUGCCUCUACUCUUAUAGAACUUGUUGAAUUUUCUGACCAUGAGGCUUAUCUCUUCAUCAGUGACAAGAUUGUCCUUUGAAGUAGCGGGAGUAUUACAUGAAGCUUUGUAAGCACCGCUUGACUUGUUGUGUAGCUAAUCUUUGUCCUUGAGUGACAUCUCAUGAGCAACAAUCCUACCAAUGACUUCGGUUGGCUUGAGAUCUUUGUAGUUUGGCAUCAUUUGAAUCAAUGUGCACACAGUGUCAUACUUUCCAUCAAGAGCUCUAAGUAUCUUCUUUAUGAUGAAUUUGUCAGUCAUCUCUUCGCUUCCUAAGCUGGCAAGCUGAUUGGUGAUGAGAGCUAGCCUAGAGUACAUUUCAGCGAGACCUUCACCAUCCUUGACCUUGAACUUGUCAAGCUGACUUUGAAGCACAUCCAACUUAGAUUCUCUCAAAGAAUCAAUGCCUUCGUGCAUAUCAAUCAAAGUAUCCCAAAUUUAUUUUGCAUUCUCAAGGCGGCUGAUUUUGUUGAAUUCUUCGGGGCAUAGAUACUUCAAGAUGAUGUCGCGGGCUUGUGCUUUAAGUUGCAACAUCUUCAGUUCAUCGGCUGUCGCAUCACGAUACGGUUCACACCCUUCUCCGAAGAAAUCACCUUGCACACCAACACGAAUAACAGUCUAAACAUGAGGAUUAAAACCAAGAAUAUGCCUUUUCAUCUUAUGCUUCCAACUAGCAAAAUUAGUGCCAUCGAAAUAUGGACCUCUACGGUGAUAAUUUCCCUCACUAGACGCCAUACUCUCCUAGGUUGUGAAACCAAUGCAAUGGAGACCAAACUUCUCAUACCACUUGUCGGAUCAAAAGUAUGUCUAGAGGGGGUGAUUAGACUACUUGACAAGAUAAAUUGUUUGCCUUUUCCCAAUAUUAGUUGAGGGGCAGUUUUGGCAGUUAUGGCAAGUCAAGUACACCCUACACAUGCAGUUCUAAGAGUAUAGCAGUGGAAUGUAAAGCAUGCAAGUGUAAUGUAAAUGAGUAAGGUAGGGAGAUCAAAUGCAUGAGGUUGACACGGUGAUUUUUGGCAUGGUUCUCAUAUGUGUCGCUAUCGUACGUCCAUGUUAGUGGAGACUUCAACCCACGAAGGGUAACGGCUGCGAGAGUCCACGGAGGGUCCACGAAGAAGGGGCCUUUUCUAUUCCACCACGGCUUUCUCCCAUGACGGACUAGCGUUACUCAUGGUAUAUCUUCACGAAGUAGGUGAUCUCCUUGCCCUUACAAACAUCUUGGUUCAACACCACAACACGAAGUAGGAGGCUCCCAAGCGACACCUAACCAAUCUAGGAGGCGCCACCCUCCAAAAGGUAAUAGAUGUAGUAGAUCAAUGAACUCCUUGAUCUUGUCCUCAACACAAAAUCACUCUCUCAUAGAAUAUGCAUGGGUAGGAGAGAUUUACUUGGUGGAAAGCUGUUUGGAGAGGCUAGAGAUUAAGUUCCAAAUGAUUGGAUUGGAAUAUAUUGGUCUUAACACAUGAGUAGGUGGUUCUCUCUCAGAAAAUGGAUCUGGCAAUGAGUGUGUUUUCUCAGUGCUUCUCCCACGAAUGAGAGGUGGGUGAAGGGGUAUAUAUAGGUAGCACACAAAAUCCAACCAUUACACCCAAAGUGGCAAACUCGGUGACACCAAAGUGAUAAACUCGAUGGUAGAACUUUUGAAUCUCGGUGAGCUCACCGAUAUAUGAAACUCGGUGGCACCGAAAAGGUGGCUAACAGUCAGAUGGCCAAAGUCGGUGGCACCAAUACUCAAACUCGGAAAUUCCGAUUUUGUGUACCGAGGCACCCGAAAGUUGGUUGAUACGUCUCCAACGUAUCUGUAAUUUUUGAUUGUUCCAUGCUAUUAUAUUAUAUGUUUUGGAUGUUUUAUAUGCAUUAAUACGCUAUUUUAUAUUAUUUUUGGGACUAACCUAUUAAUCUAGAGCCUAGUGCCAGUUUCUCUUUUUUCCUUGUUUUUGCGUUUUGCAGAUAAGGAAUAUUAUACGGAGUCCAAACGGAAUAAAAUCUCCGGAGUGAUUUUUUCUAGAACGAAAGAGACCUCCGAGACUUGGAGUAGGGGCAAGGCACCUUUCGGGAGGCCACAAGCCUGCAGGGCGCAGCUAGGGGGGUAGGCCGCGCGCCCCUGGCUUGUGGGCCCCCUGCAGGUCUCCUAACCCUAAUUCGCGUCCUAUAAAUUCCCAAAUAUUCCAUCAUUAUCAUAAGGAGACCAAGAAAUACAUUUCCGCCGCCAGAAGCCUCUGUUUCCGAGAGAUCCAAUGUGGGAGCCUUUUCUGGUAAUCUGUCGGAGCGGGAUUCGAUCAUGGAGAGCUUCUACAUCAACACCAUUGCCUCUCCAAUGAUGCGUGAGUUGUUUACCACAGACCUACGGGUCCAUAGCUAGUAGCUAGAUGGCUUCUUCUAUCUCUUUGUUCUUCAAUACCAUGUUCUCCAUGAUCAUCAUGGAGAUCUAUCUGAUGUAAUACUCUUUUGCGGUGUGUUUGUCGAGAUCGUUGAAUUGUGAGUUUAUGUUCAGAAUGUCUAUGAAUAUUAUUUGAGUUCUUCCUGAUUUCUUAUAUGCAUGAUUUCAUAUAUUUGCAAAUCUCCUCAAAUUAUUGGUUUGGUUUGGCCAACUAGAUUGGUAGUUGUUGCAUUAGGAGAAGUGCUUAGUUUUGGGUUCAAUCUUGCGGAGUCCUCACCCAGUGAGAAAAUAGGGGUAGCGAGGCACGUAUUGCAUUGUUGCCAUCAAGGAUAAAAAGGUGGUAUUUUCAUCAUAUUGCUUGAGUUAAUUCCUCUACAUCAUGUCAUCUUACUUGAUGUGUUACUCUGUUCUUCAUGAACUUAAUACUCUAGAUGCAGGCAUGAGUCGGUCGAUGUGUGGAGUAAUAGUAGUAGAUGCAAAAUCGUUUCGGUCUACUUGACACGGACGUGAUGCCUAUAUGCAUAAUCAUUUCCUUAGAUAUCUUCAUGAUUAUUCACUUUUCUAUCAAUUGCUCGACAGUAAUUUGUUCACCCAUCGUAUUAUUUUCCUUCAUGAGAGAAGCCUCUAGUGAAACCUAUGGCUCCCGGGUCUAUUUUCCAUAUUAUAUUUCUCAGAUCUAUAAACCAAAAAUACCAAAAACAUAUUGUUGCUAUUUAUUUACUUUUGUUUUUACUUUUAGUUCUUUCAAUCUUUUAUAUCUAUCUCUAUCAAAUUUCAUCCUUGCAAAUAACCGUGAAGGGAUUGACAACCCCUUUGUUGCGUUGGGUGCAAGUGUUUGAUUAGUUGUGUAGGUGCUAAUAUUGGGGCAUUGCUUGUUCCUCCUACUGGAUUGAUACCUUGGUUCACAACAGACUGAGGGAAAUACUUAUCUACUUUGUUGCAUCACCCUUUCCUCUUCAAGGGAAAACCAACACAAGCUCAGGAAGUAGCAUUGAUCACCCAAACUAGGUCACCGAUAUGGAUUCGGUUGCACUCAUUUGGUGGUAAUGGCUAGGGUUUGUUUAUGAGGUCAAACUCUAUGGGUCCCAAAUUUGGAAGUUGGUGACACCAAAAUUGAGUAUGUGGAAAUUGACAGAAUGGUUAUGUGGGAAAAAUGAUUGAGUAUUUUGGUGGCUAACUUUGAGCACUUUGAGCAAUCAGUUCAUUUUACUACCUCACCCCCUUUUAGUAGUAUUGGCUUUCCUAUGGACUCAAAAGCGAUUUCUCACAAAUAUAUAAAAUGAAGAGUCUUGUAGCUUGAAGCUUGAGCCAAUCCUAUUCUUUUCUUGCAUCAAGGGGCAUCUCCAUAUAAGCCUUUAGCCAAAGCAUCUUUUGAACUUUUCUGAAAUAUACUUGGAUAAACAUAUUAGUCCAAUGAUGCAUAUGUUGUGAUAAAUUAUCAAAACUACCCUAGGGAGCAAUUUUGCUUUCAUUAAUAUCUUCGUAGUGUCAAGUCACAUAUACUCAAACAUUGUGGAUCCGUCCACCACCCUCUCUCUUCGAGAGGUUGGACUAUUUACAUCUCCCAUGUCUUUUGUCUUCUGAUCCAUAUCUAUAUUUUCCCCUGAUCUCUGCACUCAUAAUUGGGGCUUUUUCUCUCUGAUUCUUUCUUCCGUUUUUUGCACUGUGAGUGUAGUCGAUUUAUAUGACCAUAGAUCAGGUUCUGCCUAAGCCUCUCUCAUCUUAAAACCCUCUCAUAUUUCAUUUGGUGCACAAGCUUCUUCUAUCCACAUAAAUGUUGUUGGGAGUGUGGUGGUCCUGGCAGCUUUCGGUCCCUCUCCCUCAAGUUCUCGGAUUUUCAGAGAAACUGUAUUCUCUAUGGAUAACCCCGAACUUCCGGGAUGUGGCCCGGAACUUCCGGCUGCUGGAACUUUCGGGCUUGACCGGAACUUUCAGACGUCGCGGGUUUGAGGUACUUAACACUGGGAUGCGAUUGCAAGAGGGGCCUUUCCCCAUUUGUUCCUCUACCCCUCUCACUCCUCUUCCUGCGGCGCCCCCUCUCUCAUCGACGACCUCCGGGCGAGCCGCUAGCCCCCGGAACCUCCGGCCUUCCUCCUUUCCAUCGUGUUCAUAGGGCAUCUCGUGUUCUCCUCACCAUCUCCAUGGAUAAAGGUAACCUAAGCACUCUCUCUGCCUUCUCUUUGGAUUCGUUCCUAGAUAUUGUAGUCAAGCUUAUGGUAUUAGGAUGAUGAUCGUCUCCCAGUUUUCCGCACUUCAUCCACCAUAGAUCUGCGGUAUUUCCUUCCCUUCAAAUCCAUGUGCAUGAACUAUGCCCGCCCCCUCCUUGGAUCUGGAUGGAGUCCUAUGACCCGGCUAGUGCCCGAAACUUCUGGGAAGGCCGAAACUUCCGGCCUUGCUAGGGUUUCCAUAUCCACGUUGAGGGCGGUACUUCUGCCAGCCGGAACUUCCGGUUUCCCAGAAUUUCCGUCUGCCAGAACUUCCAGCCCAGCCCCGAACUUCCGGUCCAAGCAGAGUGCUCACAUUUUUUCCUGUGAUGCGAUUCUUUCAUUUUAUAUUUGAAGCUUGUGCACUUAUUCUAUUCUCUUUCUAUUUCUAUCACCUCCUUUCAGCGGGUGGUUCUGGCUCGCAUGCAAAACCAUCCAAGGUUUACGAACGGAAAUCAAAGAAAGGGCCAAGAAGUACAAGGCUGUUGCGUUAGGUCCUGAGAACAUGUUUGACUGCUAUGCUUAGCCUGAUGCUGAGUUCGAAGGCCAUGACUCUCCUCCCCAUGCUCCCUCUCACUCAAGGAAGCGGAAGACCGCUACCAAAAAGGGCAAGCCGGUUCAUGCACAUCCUCCUCCUCCUCCCGUGCCCAUCUCUAUGAAAGAUUUGUCGGCACCUGAGUGGGUUGCUCAGCGUAGAAUCAAUCCCUUUAAUGAAAAACGUGAACAUGUGGCAAACUACACGUUCUUAACUUUAUUUCAGCAACGCACUUAUGAUGAGAUCCUCACUUGUUUUGUUGACAAGUGUGUCAUUCAGAAGAGUAUCAACAUCGCUCAUUUUGACAAGACUCCCACCAACACUGCAUAUUUAGCGGGGGUUCAGAGUAUGUGUGUCAAGACCAACCUUCUUCCUCUCAUGAAUUUUCAGCAUGAUGUGUCCCCACCUCUUGUGGCUCAGUUUUAUGCCAUGGUGCAUUUUGGGACUGAUAUACAGCAUACUCUUACGUGGAUGUGUGGUGAUGAGAAGUUAUCUGCCCCGUUUUUUGUGUUGGCUCGUCUUUUGGGCUAUGCGUACUCUCACACUACUGUUGAUCGUGGGUACAAGAUCCAUGAUAGAGGGGUCUUUCAGGUUCAUCACUUGGCUGAGUUGUACCCGACUAGUGGACAGGUUGGCUAUGUUGGUGACCUUCUGCCCUUCUAUGAUAUCAUGCACCGGAUCUUUCGCGAAGUGCUUGCUGUCAAGGUGGGUGACAAAAACAAGAUUCGUGGUCAUCUCAUCAACCUCCUUCACUACACUUGUCACAACUCUGAUAGGGCUCUAUUGAUGUGAUGGAUUUCAUAUGGCAUGAAAUGUACAGUGUUGUGAUGAACCGCAAGGUACCGAUUUAUGGUCCCUAUAUCACUGCCUUGAUUGUUGAGAUUGCUCCUGAUGCAUCUGCUGGCCGGCGUCUGACUGUUCACCCUAGUGUCUUCUGGAGAGUCGUCCAACGACUCAUCGGAUUCCCACAGCUAGGGGUUGCAGUCGUGCAUCCUUCGUUUUUCCUUUUUGCCAUCUUGAUGACAAAGGGGGAUAUGUUGGACUGCUUGAUAGGGGCUUUGACUCAUCGUUUUAUCAUUUGCCUUUGCCUACUUUUAUUUGAACCCUUGCUCUUACUUGCUACUAUUUGAACCUUAUCGUUGUGUGUUUGUUAAUUGUCUAUCAUGUGUGAGCACUUUAUGGUUACAAUGUGUUUCAUGGCUUAGUCCAUAUUCCCAUAUCAUAUACGCAAAUCAAGGUUAGUAAAUCAUUCUAUGUUGCUACGUCUGUCUUGUGUGGGUAGCACAAUCUGAGGGGGAGAUACUUCCAAUUGUUGGAAAUAUGCCCUAGAGGCAAUAAUAAAAUGGUUAUUAUCAUAUUUCCUUGUUCAUGAUAAUCGUCUAUUGUUCAUGCUAUAAUUGUAUUAACAAGAAACAGUAAUACAUGUGUGAAUAAAUAGAUCACAAUGUGUCCCUAUCAAGCCUCUAGUUGGCUAGCUCGUUAAUCAAUAGAUGAUCAUGGUUUCCUGAUCAUGGACAUUAGAUGUCAUUGAUAACGAGAUCAUAUCAUUGGGAGAAUGAUGUGAUGGACAAGACCCAAUCCUAAGCAUAGCACUAGAUCGUAUUGUUCGUAUGCUAAAGCUUUUCUAAUGUCAAGUGUCUUUUCCUUCGACCGUGAGAUUGUGCAACUCCCGGAUACCGUAGGAGUGCUUUGGGUGUAUCAAACGUCACAACGUAACUGGGUGACUAUAAAGGUGCACUACGGGUACCUCCGAAAGUGUCUGUUGGGUUGGUACGAAUCGAGAUCGGGAUUUGUCACUCCGUGUGACGGAGAGGUAUCUCUGAGCCCACUCGGUAGAACAUCAUCAUGAGCUCAAUGUGACUAAGGAGUUAGUCACAAGAUGACGUGCUACGGAACGAGUAAAGAGACUUACCGGUAACGAGAUUGAACAAGGUAUAGGUAUACCGACGCUCGAAUCUCGGGCAAGUUCUAUACCGACAGACAAAGGGAAUUGUAUACGGGAUUGAUUGAAUCCUUGACAUCAUGGUUCAUCCGAUGAGAUCGUCGUGGAACAUGUGGGAGCCACCAUGGGUAUCCAGAUCUCUCUGGUGGUUAUUGGCCGGGGAGUGUCUCGGUCAUGUCUGCAUGCCUCCCGAACCCGUAGGGUCUACACACUUAAGGUUCGAUGACGCUAGGGUUAUAGGGAAUUGUUAUACGAGGUAAUCGAAGGAUGUUCGAAGUCCCGGAUGAGAUCCCGGACAUCACGAGGAGCUACGGAAUGGUCCGUAGGUGAAGAUUGAUAUAUAGGAUGGAUGGGUUUGGACACCGGAAAUGUUUCGGACGUCACCGGUAGCGUACCGGGACCACCGGGACCACCGGAAAUGGUCCUGGGGGUCCACCGGGAGGGGCCACCAGCCCCAAGAGGCUGCGUGGGCCAAAAGGUGGAGGGCAAGCAGCCCAAAGUGGGCUGGUGCGCCUCCCACAUAGAGGCCCAAGGCGUAGGAGGUGGAGAGGGGGCAAACCAUAGGCGUUGGUGGGCCUAAGGCCCACCUAGGGUGCGCCACCCCCUCUCCCUGCCCUGGCCGCCGCACCUCCCAUCUGGGGGGGCUGCCGCACCACCUAGGGUGGGAACCCUAGGGGUGGCACACACCCCUCCCCUCCUCCUAUAUAUAGAGAGGAUUUUGGGGCUAUUUUGCACACAGUUUUCUAUCUCCCUAGGCGCAGCCCUGCUUCCCUCCUUUCUCCUCUCCCACGGUGCUUGGCGAAGCCCUGCCGGGAGGCCUCGUCUCUACAUCGACACCACACCGUCGUACCGGAGAUCUUACCCAACCUCUCCCUCCUCCUUGUUAGAUCAAGGUGCGGGAGACGUCACCGGGUUGCACGUGUGUUGAACGCGGAGGUGCCGUGGUUCGUCACUAGAUCGGAAUCACACCGCGAUCUGAAUCGCCGCGAGUACGACUCCAUCAACCGCGUUCUAGCAACGCUUCCGCUUAGCAAUCUUCAAAGGUAUGAAGAUGCACUCACCCCUCUCUCGUUGCUGGUCUCUCCAUAGGAAUAUCUGAAUAUGGCGUAGGAAAAUUUUGAAUUUAUGCUACGUUACCCAACAGUGGCAUCCGAGCGAGGUUUUCUAUGCGUAGAUUCUAUGCACGAGUAGAACACAAAAGGUUGUGGGCGAUGAUUUUUCAAUUGCUUGCUGCUACUAGUCUUAUUAUUUUCCGGCGGUAUUGUGGGAUGAAGCGGCCCGGACCGACCUUACACGUACGCUUACGUGAGACUGGUUCCACCGACAGACAUGCACACCGUGCAUAAAGGUGGCUAGCGGGUGUCUGUCUCUCCCACUCUGGUCGGAUUGGAUUUGAUGAAAAGGGUCCUUACGAAGGGUAAAUAGCUUUGGCAUAUCAUCGUUGUGGCUGUCACGUAGGUAAGUAGGCGUUCUUGCUCGAAACCCAAAUCAGCCACGUAAAACUUGCAACAACAAUUAGAGGACGUCUAACUUGUUUUUGGAGGGUUUGACAUGUGAUGUGAUAUGGCCAAAGUUGUGAUGUUGCAUGUGGGAUGUAUGAUAUGAUCAUGUUAUUGUAAUAGGAUUCACGACUUGCAUGUCGAUGAGUAUGACAACCGGCAGGAGCCAUAGGAGUUGUCUUAAUUUAUUGUAUGAGAUGCAACGCCAUGUGUUUACUACUUUUACUUCAUUGCUGACGGUUAGCUAUAGUAGUAGUGGUAGUAGUAGUUGGCGUGACGACUUCACGGAGACAAGAUGAUGGAGAUCAUGGUGUCACGCCGGUGACAAUGAUGAUCAUGCAAUGCCUGAAGAUGGAGAUCGAAAGAGCAAAGAUGAUAAUGGCCAUAUCAUGUCACUAUAUGAUUGCAUGUGAUGUUUAUCAUGUUUUUCAUCUUAUUGCUUAGAACGACGGUAGCAUAAUGAGAUGAUCCCUCUUAAAAUUUUGAGAACGUAUUCCCCUAAGUGUGCACUGUUGUGAAGGAUCGUUGUCUCGAAGCACCACGUGAUGAUCGGGUGUUAUAGAUUCUAACGUUCGCAUACAACGGGUGUAAGCCAGAUUUACACACGCGAAACACUUAGGUUGACUCGACGAGCUUAGCAUGUACAGACAUGACCUCGAAUACAAGAGAUCGAAAGGUCGAACAUGAGUCAUAUGGUUGAAUACGAUCAGCAUGAAGUUGCUCACCAUGACGACCAGUCCGUCUCACGUGAUGAUCGGACACGGGUUAGUCAACAUGGAUCAUGUAUCACUUAGAUGACUAGAGGGAUGUCGAUUUAAGUGGGAGUUCAUACUUAAUUUGAUUAAAUGAACUUAAUUGUCAUGAACUUAGUCUAAAAGUUGUCUAUAUAAAUAUUGUAGAUGGCUAACGUCAACCUCAAUUUCAACGCAUUCCUAGAGAAAAAACAAGCUGAAAGAUGAUGGUAGCAACUAUGCGGACUGGGUCCGCAACUUGAAGCUCGUCCUUGAUGCGUCGCUAGGUGACCCUCCUGCCUUCUGCAGCAGCCCAAGACAUUCUGAACGUCUGGAAAACGCGGAGUGAUGACUACUCUCUGGUUAGGUGUGGCAUGUUAUACAGUUUGUAAACGGGGCUCCAAAGGCGUUUUGAGCAACACGGUGCAUAUGAGAUGUUCCAAGAGCUGAAACUAGUUUUUUCAAGCUCAUGCCCGUGUUGAGAGAUAUGAAGUCUCCGACAAGUUCUUUAGCUAUAAGAUGGAGGAGAACAGUUCUGUCAGUGAGCACAUACUCAAAAUGUCUGGGUUACACGGUCGUCUGACUUCACUUGGAGUCGAACUUCCGGAUGACGCUAUAAUUGACAUAAUCCUCCAGUCUCUCCCACCAAGCUACAAAGGUUUUGUGCUGAACUACAACAUGCAAGGGAUGGAGAAGACCAUUCCCGAGUUGUACUCGAUGCUCAAGUCUGCCGAAGUACAAAUCAAGAAAGAGCAUCAAGUGUUGAUGGUCAACAAGACCACCAGUUUCAAGAAGGGCAAGGGUAAGAAGAACUUCAAGAAAGACGGCAAAGCCGUUGCCGUGCCCGGUAAACCAGAUACCGGGAAGAAGAAAAAGAAUGGACCCAAGCCUGAGACUGAUUGCUUCUAUUGCAAGGGAAAAGGUCACUGGAAGCGGAACUGCCCCAAAUACUUAGCGGACAAGAAGGCCGGCAACGUUAAAGGUAUAUAUGAUAUACAUGUUAUUGAUGCGUACCUUACCAGCGCUCGUAGUAGCUCCUGGGUAUUUGAUAUCGGUGAUGUUGCUCACAUUUGCAACUCAAAGCAGGAACUGCGGAAUAAGCGGAGACUGACCAAGGACGAGGUGACAAUGCGCGUCGGGAAUGGCUCCAAGGUCGAUGUGAUCGCCGUCGGCACGCUGCCUCUACAUCUACCGUCGGGAUUAGUUUUAAACCUUAAUAAUUGUUAUUUAGUACCAGCUUUGAGCAUGAAUAUUAUAUCAGGGUCUUGCUUAAUGCGAGACGGCUACUCAUUUAAGUCAGAGAAUAAUUAUUGUUCUAUUUAUGAGUGGUAUGUUUUAUGGUCAUGCUCCGCUGGUGAAUGGUUUAUUCUUGAUGAAUCUCGAUCGUGAUGUUACACAUAUUCAUAGUGUGAGUACCAAAAUAUGUAAAGUUGAUAAUGAUAGUCCCACAUACUUAUGGCACUACCGCCUUGGUCAUAUCGGUGUUAAGUGCAUGAAGAAGCUCCAUACGGAUGGACUAUUAGAGUCUCUUGACUUUGAAUCAUUUGACACAUGCGAACCGUGCCUCAUGGGCAAGAUGACUAAGACUCCAUUCUCAGGAAUAAUGGAGAGAGCGACCGACUUAUUGGAAAUAAUACAUACUCAUGUGUGUGGUCCAAUGAACGUUGAAGCUCGCGGUGGCUACCGUUAUGUUCUCACUCUCACCGAUGGUUUGAGUAGGUAUGGGUAUAUCUACUUGAUGAAGCAAAAAUCUGAGACGUUUGAAAAGUUCAAGGAAUUUUAGAUUGAGGUUGUGAAUCAACGUGACAGAAAAGUUAAGUGUCUACGAUAUGAUCGUGGAAGAUAAUAUUUGAGUCACGAGUUUGGCACACACCUAAGGAAAUGUGGAAUCGUUUCACAACUGACGCCUCCUGGAACACCGCAACGCAAAGGAGUGUCUGAACGUCGUAAUCGCACUUUAUUAGAUAUGGUACGAUCUAUGAUGUCUCUUACCGACUUACCGCUAUCAUUUUGGGGAUACGCAUUAGAAACUGCAGCAAUCACUUUAAAUAGGGCACCGUCUAAAUCCGUUGAGACGACACCAUAUGAACUAUGGUUUGGCAAGAAACAUAAGUUGUCGUUUCUUGAAGUUUGGGGUUGCGAUGCUUAUGUGAAGAAACUUCAACCAGAGAAGCUCAAACCCAAAGCGGAGAAAUGCGUAUUCAUAGGAUACCCUAAGGAAACUAUUGGGUGUACCUUUUAUCUUAGAUCCGAAGGUAAAACCUUUGUUGCCAAGAACGGAUCCUUUCUAGAGAAAGAGUUUCUCUCGAAAGAAGUAAGUGGGAGGAAAGUAGAACUUGAUGAGGUAAUUACACCCCCUCUCGAACCGGAAAGUAGCGCAGCACAGGAAAUUGUUUCUGUGGCGCCUACGCCAACUGAAGAGGAAGUUAAUGAUGAUGAUCAUGAAGCUUCGGAUCAAGUUGCUACUGAACCGCGAAGGUCCACAAGGGUACGCUCCGCAUCAAAGUGGUACGGCAACCCUGUUAUGGAAAUCAUGUUGUUAGACAACGGUGAACCUUCGAACUAUGAAGAAGCAAUGGCGGGCCCGGAUUCCAACAAAUGGCUUGAAGCUAUGAAAUCCGAGAUAGGAUCCAUGUAUGAAAACAAAGUAUGGACUUUGGUGGACUUGCCCGCUGAUCGGCGAGCCAUAGAAAAUAAAUGGAUCUUCAAGAAGAAGACUGAUGCAAACGGAAAUGUGACCGUUUAUAAAGCCCGACUUGUCGCAAACGGUUUUCGACAAAUUCAAGGAGUUAACUAUGAGGAGACUUUCUCUCCCGUAGCGAAGCUGAAGUCAGUCUGAAUCAUGUUAGCAAUUGCCGCUUUUCAUGAUUAUGAAAUUUGGCAGAUGGACGUCAAAAUAGCGUUCCUUAACGGGAAUCUUAAGAAAGAGUUGUAUAUGAUGCAACCAGAAGGUUUUGUCAACCCUAAGGGUACUAACAAAGUGUGCAAGCUCCAACGCUCCAUCUAUGGGCUGGUGCAAGCAUCUCGGAGUUGGAACAUUCGCUUUAAUGAGGUGAUUAAAGCGUUUGGGUUCAUACAGGUUUAUGGAGAAGCCUGUCUGUACAAGAAAAUGAGUGGGAGCUCUGUAGCUUUCCUCAUACUAUAUGUGGAUGACAUAUUAUUUAUUGGGAAUAACAUAGAAUUGUUGGAGAGCAUAAAGGCCUAUUUGAACAAGAGUUUUUCAAUGAAGGACCUUGGAGAAGCUGCAUACAUAUUAGGCAUCAAGAUCUAUAGAGAUAGAUCGAGACGCCUCAUAGGUCUUUCGCAAAGUACAUACCUUGACAAGAUAUUGAAGAAGUUCAAUAUGGAAAACUCAAAGAAGGGGUUCUUGAUUGCAAGGUAUGAGAUUGAGUAAGACUCAGUCACCGACCACGGCAGCAGACGGAGAGAAGAUGAGUAUUGUCCCCUAUGCUUCAGUCGUAGGCUCUCUAAUGUAUGUCAUGCUGUGUACCAGACCUGAUAUAAACCUUGCCAUAAGUUUGAUAGGGAGGUACCAAAGUGAUCCCGGUAUGGAACACUGGACAGCGGUCAAGAAUAUCCUUAAGUACCUUAAGAGGACUAAGGAGAUGUUUCUCGUUUAUCGAGGUGACGAAGAGCUCGUCGUAAAGGGUUACGUCGAUGCUAGCUUCGACACAGAUCCGUAUGACUCUAAGUCACAGACCGGAUACGUGUAUGUUUUGAAUGGUGGGGCAGUGAGCUAGUGCAGCAGCAAGCAAGAAGUCGUGGCAGCAUCUACAUGUGAAGCGGAGUACAUAGCUGCUUCAGAAGCGGCUCAUGAAGGAAUUUGGAUGAAGGAGAUCAUCAUCGACCUUGGAGUGGUCCCAAGCGCGUCGGGUUCGAUGACACUCUUCUGUGAUAACACUGGGGCCAUUGCCAUAGCCAAGGAGCUCAGGUUUCACCGGAAGACCAAACACAUCAAACGCCGCUACAACUCCAUCCAGGACCAUGUCCAGAGUGGAGUAAUAGAUAUUUGUAAAGUACACACGGAUCUGAAUGUUGAAGACCCGUUGACUAAACCUCUUCCUCGAGCAAAACAUGAUCAACACCAUAAUGCUAUCGGUGUUCGAUACAUCACAAUGUAACUGGAUUAUUGACUCUAGUGCAAGUGGGAGAUUGUUGGAAAUAUGCCCUAGAGGCAAUAAUAAAAUGGUUAUUAUCAUAUUUCCUUGUUCAUGAUAAUCGUCUAUUGUUCAUGCUAUAAUUGUAUUAACAGGAAACAGUAAUACAUGUGUGAAUAAAUAGAUCACAAUGUGUCCCUAGCAAGCCUCUAGUUGACUAGCUCGUUAAUCAAUAGAUGAUCAUGGUUUCCUGAUCAUAGACAUUAGAUGGCAUUGAUAACAUGAUCACAUCAUUGGGAGAAUGAUGUGAUGGACAAGACACAAUCCUAAGCAUAGCACUAGAUCGUAUUGUUCAUAUGCUAAAGCUUUUCUAAUGUCAAGUGUCUUUUCCUUCGACCGUGAGAUUAUGCAACUCCCGCAUACCGUAGGAGUGCUUUGGGUGUAUCAAACGUCAUAACGUCAUUGGGUGACUAUAAAGGUGCACUACGGGUACCUCCGAAAGUGUCUGUUGGGUUGGUACGAAUCGAGAUCGGGAUUUGUCACUCCGUGUGAUGGAGAGGUAUCUCUGAGCCCACUCGGUAGAACAUCAUCAUGAGCUCAAUGUGACUAAGGAGUUAGUCACAGGAUGACGUGCUACGGAACAAGUAAAGAGACUUACCGGUAACGAGAUUGAACAAGGUAUAGGUAUACCGACGAUCGAAUCUCGGGCAAGUUCUAUACCGACAGACAAAGGGAAUUGUAUACGGGAUUGAUUGAAUCCUUGACAUCAUGGUUCAUUCAUGAGAUCAUCGUGGAACAUGUGGGAGCCACCAUGGGUAUCCAGAUCCCGCUGAUGGUUAUUGGCCGGAGAGUGUCUCGGUCAUGUCUGCAUGCCUCCCGAACCCGUAGGGUCUACACACUUAACGUUCGAUGACGCUAGGGUUAUAGGGAAUUGUUAUACGAGGUUACCGAAGGAUGCUUGGAGUCCCGGAUGAGAUCCCGGACGUCACGAGGAGCUCCGGAAUGGUCUGGAGGUAAAGAUUGAUAUAUAGGAUGGAUGGGUUUGGACUGCGGAAAUGUUUCGGGCGUCACCGGUAGCGUACCGGGACCACCGGGACCACCGAAAAUAGCCGGGGGGUCCACCGGGAGGGGCCACCAGCCCCAAGAGGCUGCGUGGGACAAAAGGUGGAGGGCAACCAGCCCAAAGUGGGCUGGUGCGCCUCCCACAUAGAGGCCCAAGGCGUAGGAGGUGGAGAGGGGGCAAACCCUAGGCGCUGGUGGGCCUAAGGCCCACCUAGGGGUGCGCCACCCCCUCUCCCUGCCCUGGCUGCCGCACCUCCCAUCUGGGGGGGCUAACGCACCACCUAGGGUGGGAACCCUAGGGGUGGCACACCCCCCCUCCCCUCCUCCUAUAUAUAGAGAGGGUUUUGGGGCUGUUUUGCACACAUUUUUCUAUCUCCCUCGGCGUAGCCCUGCUUCCCUCCUUCCUCCUCUCCCAUGGUGCUUGGCGAAGCCCUGCCGGGAAGCCUCGUUUCUCCAUCGACACCACGCCGUCGUGCCGGAGAUCUUCCCCAACCUCUCCCUCCUCCUUGCUGGAUCAAGGUGCGGGAGACGUCAUCGGGCUGCACGUGUGUUGAACGCGGAGGUGUCGUGGUUCGGCACUAGAUCGGAAUCACACCGUGAUCUGAAUCGCCGCGAGUAUGACUCCAUCAACCGCGUUCUAGCAAUGCUUCCGCUUAGCGAUCUUCAAAGGUAUGAAGAUGCACUCACCCCUCUCUCGUUGCUGGUCUCUCCAUAGGAAGAUCUGAAUAUGGCGUAGGAAAAUUUUGAAUUUAUGCUACGUUACCCAACACCAAUCGUGUCUUUGACCUUAAAAAAAAUCUAAAAUAAGGCAUAGGUUGUGGGGGAGUUAUUUCCUUUCAUCAAAACUACUUUAUAGCAUACAUACUUUAUGUGUCUACCCCUCUCAAGCAUUAUUGUCGUCUAUGUCAAAAAUGGGGAGAUUGAAAGUGCAUAAUUGCCCUUAAUAGUUUUUGACAUCUAUGACAAUUUCAUUUGUGUUUCUAACCACAUGCUCUAUUGUAAACAACACCGUCAAAUUAAAGUGGAGCAUGGAUGGUAACUUCCCCUCUACGGGGAAAAGGGAAAAAGGCGGAGGGCCAUAAUUGUUUUCUUUCUUUCUUGAGUCCUUAGGGCAGCUGCACUAUUAAGAGGGGAUGCAUCAUGAAAACAUCUGGGAAUCAACUCCACAUACACAUAUGAUGUGGCAAAUCAAUUCUCAAAGUUGGCUUGAAUUAAAUGGUGAAAAGUUCCUGCCUAGGCCAGAGCUUCCGGGACGGCCGGAACUUUCAGGGACCAAAAGGUUCGGGAAGCUUCUGGGCCAUCCAGAGAGCAUGCAAACACUCUGUUUACCCCAGAACUUUGCCGGACCCUCGCCGAAACUUCCGUCGCCGAGAGCCGGAACUUCCGUCCCCGUUCUGGCAGCUUUUGGGGCACUCCGCAAAGGACGCAAACAAUUUGUCUAGCCCGGUACCUGCCCGAAACUUGGCCGGAACUUCCGGGGUCCAGAACUUCCGGUCAUGCCCGAAACUUCCGGUCAUAGCAGGAAUAUGGCCCCAGCGACUAAAUUCCAUCCCCACCUAUAUAUAGUCUUCUUCCCCACGAAGAAGGUGACGGCUCCAUUUCUCUCUCCACCAUUUUCAGACCUCGAUUUCUUCGAGUUCUCCCUCCUUAGCCAACCAAAGCUCUUGAUAUUUUGAAGGAGAGAAGGAGGAAUGCCUGAUCUACACAUUCACCAAAGCAAAAGUUAACCCCUGUGUUUUCGUGGUGCAUAUUGUUACUCUUGGAGGUUGGAGACUCCUAGGCAGUAGGAGUACUCCGGCGAGGAAUCGUUCACUGGGAUUACCCCCGGAUAGUUUGUGAGGGUUUGGAGACCAUCCCAAGGUCUACCACUAGUGGUUCAGAAACGCCUUCGUGGUGUUGUCUCAAGGAGAGAAUAGGGUGAACCUUCGUGGCGUUGGUGUGCCUUUGUGGUAACAUCCACCUCUCUAAAUGGUGAUGUAGCUUCCCUCCAAGGAAGUGAACAUCGGCAUACAUCCUCGUCUCUCGGAGUUGCGGUUAUUUCUAACCCUAACUUCCUACUUGUGGUAUUACUUGUAUAACUUGUAUACUUGUUUCACUUGUGCUUACCUAUCUACUUACUUGUUGCCUUGAUUAGUACACAUAGCACGACCACCAUCUUUACAAUUGUUAGGCUUACUUUCAUAUUCCGCAAUAUUGCCUAAAGUUGCUAAGUAACAAUUAAAAUUUGUACUUGUACCUAUUCACCCCCCCCCCCUAUAGGUCCAUCUUGAUCCUUUUCAAUAAGGCAUUACGAGUGAGUAUAUACUCGCUUCAUCAGAUUAUACUCCCUAGUGUUGUGAGAUCUACACCAUUUUGGAGAUUAUCUUCAAGGUGACAUAUUUAGCAAUUUGAGAUUCACACUAAUGGUUUCAAGAUAAUUUAUUGAAAUACCCAUUGAUUUUUUUAAGUUCAUUACAACAUCAACCAUGAUCGUCUUUAAUUUACUGACUGUAAAUUAAUUAUCUCUGGUUUACCCAUAGAGGUAACAUAUGGCUAUUGAAUUUGAGGUAUUCGCCCUCAAUGGCCGCCACUGCCCUAUCUGGGCCAUGGACAUCAUGAUUGCUCUUGUGUCUCGUGGGAUAAUGUGUGGAAUCCAGGAUUCACUUCUGAUCGGGAUCACAACGCUACUAUUGUGAUCCAGGAUUCAGAUCUCAGCAUCUGGUUAUUUUGUAUCAAGAAUUCCUGGGAUACAAUGACUCAAGGGUAAAGGUUUGAAAUUCACUUCAACCUUCAACCCGACAUCACCAAUGAUGACAUGACACUAUGAGCACGGAGAACGUGAUGGUACCGACAUGUUUGGAGACUAUGAAAGUCUAUCAGUCUCGUGAGUGGUCAAUAUAAUUUAUGUCCAUUUAUGAUGUUAUAGCAACAACAUAAGUAUUGUUGUCGUCAUAUAUUGUAUCAGCAUUUUGGUACAAAUAUAUUUGUAUGUAUUCUAUUUAUCUGAGAGUGAUUUUCAUACUGAAAAUCUUCAUGUCUAUAUAUAGAUUUCUACGAGGGUUAGUCUGAUGAAAUAUGAUAUGUGCCUUAUGGACAUAUGCACCACGACUCUAUCCUCAACGAAGUGAAAUGUUUUCACUCUCGUUGAGAGAAACGAGAUAUUUUAAAAUUGCUAGACGCGAAGAGGUAUUUGUUGGCUCAACUCGAGUCAUAUUUACUAUCCCUGUGGGUACUCGAGUAAUGUCAAGAUGUUUUAUUGGUUCUCGGUUUACCUCGUACCCUACUAAACUAUAGAGGUAUCCGUCAAAACAGUUUCCAUAGUGAAACUUAUGAUGACAACAAAGAGGAAUAUAUUCUCUUUACCAUAUGCAACAGAUAUGGCAAGCACAUUCUCUAUGUAUCAUCCGGAUUGUACUACACAUAUUACAAAGCCCGUAGCACAUGUUGCGCCCAAGAUAGUUUCCUUAAAUGUCUUGUACAUGACAAACUUGGCAUACUCUCCUUGGUCAUCGAGACAUUGGGUUGAAACCGGAACUAUCAACAAUUCCAAUAGUUUAUGAUUAUUAUGAUGUUAAAUUCUAACGAUAUUUGGAUUUUUUGUGCACUACAUGUGACACGGUGAAGCUAAUUUUAAGGCUCGCGCACCUUAAAGUCUACGCUGAACCACUCAGACUCCUUGAAUGCAUCAAGUUGAGGUAAGUGGCUCUUUCCAUCCAUUGACUAGAAUAUUCGGGUGUUCCAUGGUUCUAAAAGGCACAUCUACAUGAUGGUCUUAAGUGUGUGCUUUAUUCACACAAAAACCAUUGGCUCAUUAUCCUGACAUUGAUUUCAAGCAAAUCAAAUGGACAAGUUGCUGAAUUCUCCUUGAGUGCCUUCUCUAUGGCCCUUGAAUUGAAGUUUAGCAAUUUGUCAUAUUUGUCUAGACUCAAAAUGGUUUGAUAGAAUCAUAUCCAAAGAAUUAAGCCCAUUGCAUUAUCUUUACUUUGGAAUUGCAACUUACCAACUUUACCUUGGAGUCAUGCAGUUUUACACGCUCAUGACAAAACUGCAUAAUAUUAUUCCCCUCUAUCUUUGAUACGUGGAAAUCUACCAAGUAUUUUUCCCAUUUGCAGUAAUUCGGUUGGAUACCGAUAUCAUCACCCCGCAUACAUCAUUGGCCCCUCAACAUAUAGUUGGGAUCUAUAUGAGGAAUAUCUAUAUGAGGAAUAACUGUAUUUUCGUCAAUACCUCAAGCCCCUCGCAUGGGGAGUUAUUCAAGGCCAGUAUAAUGAUUCAUGAGGAAUAUUUCCAGGCAUUAGGGGAGAUUUCAACAUUGGCCCCCCAACAUAUAGUUGGGAUCUAUAUGAGGAAUAAUUAUAUUUCUGUCAAUACCUCAAGCCCCUCGCAUGGGGAGUUAUUCAAUCCAGUAUGCUGAUUCAUGAGGAAUAUUUCCAGGCAUUAAGGGAGCUUUCAAGUACCAUAAGGCAUUAAGGGAGCUUUCUAAAUUGAAAUGCAAAAUGCAACAUACAUUGUGUAAAGAUCGGUAAGUCACCAUACGACUUAUUGUUGUCGGUGCAUAUGAUAGAACCGACGUAGUGAGUUUCUUAUGCACAAGGAUUACACGUACAAUUAUGAUUAUUUAUAAUUGUGUGUCUGCAAUGACAACACAUGUAUUCAUCUAAAUGAAGGAGUUGUAGCAACAUGUCAAACACAUAUAUCCUUAUUUUUCCCACAGGUUUUUGGAGGAAUUACACUAACAAGCAUGGAUUAGGAGGAGUGUUAGGAUUUCAUUAAUCUUAUUAAUCCCUAGUUUUCCUAACCGAGGAGGUUGCCUCGUGUCCCUUCGGCCGCACCCCUUCGGGGCUAUAUAUAUUUAUCUACCACCGGUGGUAGUUACCACCACUUGCUUUUUGUUUGUUGUAUGUAAUAUCUAUCAAAUCAAAGAGUAUGUACGCGUAGUAUGUAGUAUAUAAUAAUGUUUUGGUAGUAUAUAUACUAUUUUUUGCUAGUAUGUAUCAUAUUUUGUGUAUGUUCUUUUUUACGUACAAAAAUAUAUGUAUUUCACAAAUAUAAUAAAAAUUAUGGGGUAACUUGUAAUUUUUUUUAUGGAACUCACUUUAAAAAAUCUAAUAUAUAAUAUAUAAACAUAAUAAAAAUGAUAAAAUAAUAUAUAUACUACAACAUGAUAGUAUAUGCGACAUGUGGGAUAACUAUUCCUCAUCCAGGGUGACGAAUAGCGCGAUAUAUAAGAAUAGUUAUUCCUCACCCCACCCCGUCUCCCACGAUCAAAAGAUAAGGAAGAAAACUAAGUAAGGUAAGAUUACAACGUGAUAAAAAGAAAAGGUAAGAUUACGACCUAAAAAAAAGGAAAUCCUCUCUUUCGUGAAGAAAAUAACGAUCAUAAAAUUAUCUCAUGCAUGUGAAAAAAAUUACGUCCUGACCAGGACGAGGAAUAACUUAUUCCUCACCCUGGGUGUUUAAUAGCGUAACUAUAUGUAUGUGUAAUCCAUCAUCAAUGAGAACAACUAUUCACUUUACAUAUUUUAUCUUAUCUCUCGUUUCCUACUCUAAACAUUUUUUUACAAGAUCCACGGACAGAGGGGUAGAACGCCCCUUGUCCUACAACAUGUUUGCGAAAAUUUAUUAAACAAAAUAGAUAUUUUCUAAUCUAAAGGGAGAGAAAAAUCCAUGUCCGUAAAUGGGCCGACCCAAUUAGACCCCAAUUAGACGAGCACCCACAAAAGCCCACCCACCCACCCGGUCUCUCGUCUCUCUCAAACCCUCGCUCCCUCCCCGAGAUCUGUCUCUACCCCACAGAAGAAAUCCUUCAGCCGCCGCCGUCGCCGCCGAAAUCGAAAUAAUGUCGCCACCGGUCUUGACCACGGUCGUCACCGGCAUGGUGCUGGCCACGGGAACUGUUGAGCUCGUGAGGGGCGCCGUGGACGCCAUCUCCGCCCUGGCAGAGAGAAAUUGCAGCAAGUGCAAUCUCAAAGUUAAGAUCGGGGAGAUGGUAAAGCACCUCGAGGAUCAUCUGUGAGUAGUAUUUCGACCCGACCAAACCCCUCUCUCCCUGCGACUCCUCCUUCCUCCAUCCUCUGUGGUAUUGGGUUCCCUGCGACUCCUCCUUCCUCCCUCCUCUGUGGUGUUGGGUUCGUUACCUCGAGUCAGAGCAGACGAGACUGAGAGAUUGCGUGGGUGGUUGCAGUGACGAAGACGAGAUGCUGUACGCUAAGGACAAGGAAGCAAUGGAGCGCAAGCUCGAGCUGAUGUAUGUCCCGUCUUUGACACCCUCCCUCCCUUCUCUGUUUGGCAUGGAGGUUCUCUCGUGACGGACCAGAUUGACUACGUGCAGGGAACAACUGGAGAAGAGGCUAAGGGAUGACAAAGCAGAUCUCAUGCAUAAGCUGGAGACCAUGUGCGUGCGUCCUAGCUUGAAUGUACUUUCCUUUUUUGUUUUUCACCUCCCAAGCUGACCGUCAUUUCAGUGAUAAUGCACACAAGGUGGAGAAGAGGCGACUCAAGGUCGAAAAGGCUGAGCUCAAGGAGGAGCUGCUGCAGGCCAAAAUCAAGGAGGCCCGGUUGAAAGACCUGGCACUGUCGGAAAUCAGAAUCAGGUGUGAAGUUUGCUCCGAGUCUCUGCUUGCCAAAAACAGAGAUGCUCAUAUGGAGAUUCAUAGGUACUCUUCUAGGACAAAAUCAUGACUGUCAUUCUGUGCAGGUUAAGUUGGAAUAAUCUGUUGUAUAUGAACCUAAAUUAGUACCUACUGUACAUCUCUACUUUCAUCUCUGUUGUCAACAUCUAAAAAUUGUGUGGCACCUCUGCAGAAAGGAGCAUAAGGUCAUGAGCAAGUACUACCGUAUGUUGCGCAAAUAGUGUUUACUGAACCAUUUGUGAGCACACCAAAGGUAAAACACUUGUACCUCUUCUCAUCUCAUGAUAUGGUAAUUUAAAUUUGUCUAAUAGCAGGCCUGCUCGCAUUCAUUCUCAUGGUUCAGCAGCAAAUCUGGACCUACCCUCUAAAUAGAACACCUGCUCGACUGUGGUAACAACCCUGUCAAUAAGUUUAUACAAUCAACGGUUUAUCAAGUUCGCUUUACAGGCUUGUAUAAGAAAAAUACAUCCGCUUCAAUCUCACUAGCUCAUUUGCACAAAUAGGGCAUACAAAUACUGUUCAAGUUUCACCCUCUCCUGCAGAAGGUGCUGCAUCUUUUAUAAAUUGAUGCUAUUAAAACAUUACCAUCAGUUUUGUGAAGUUGUUUGAUGUGAAGCAGCUAUUGAGUAUUGACUGAUGUCUCUUUGCCAAACUGCUACUAUUGACAGCACACUCAUGCUUUUUGGGCUCUAUGUUUAUUUAUUUACACGAUACUAACAUAGUUCUUCCAGACUGAGGAGUAAUUCUGCUAAACUACUGCUAUUGACAUCAUACUCAUGCUUUUUGAGCUCUCUUUGAACUGAAAUGCAAAUAGCGAGGAUUAAUAGUGAUGCAAGGCUUUUAAAAUGAACAGCAGAAAUUAGUUUUGUACCCUUAGACAGAGAUAAUGUUGUCAAGCGCUUAACCAUGCUAACUUGCUUUAAUAAUGUUGUGAAACAUGCUUCAUGUUCAUAGCUCGAACUUGUUUCUAUGUUUAUUUAUCUGCACCAUGCUAACAUAGUACUCCCUCUGUCUGGAAUUACUUGUUGCUCAACGGAUGUACUAUUGAGCUAGAUACAUCCGUUUGAGCGGCAAGUAAUUCCGGACUGAGGAGUAUUUGAUAAUGUUGUGAAAUUGUUUGAUGCGGAGCAUGCUUCAUAUUCAUAGCAUGAACUUGUUUCUAAGGGCAGAUGUUCUUUUGUUAAACUGGUGCUAUUGACAGCAUAUUCAUGUUUUUUUGAGCUCUCAAUGAAGUGAAAUGCAACUAGCGAGGAAUAAUAGUGGUCCAAGGCUUUCAAAGUGAAGAGCAGAAAUUAGUUUUCUACCCUCGCUUGUUUUUAAUAAUGUUGUGAAACAUGCUUCAUGUUCACUGCUUAACCAUGCCUAACAUGUUUUUAAUAAUGUUGUGAAACAAGCUUCAUGUUCUUAGCUCGAACUUUGUUUCUUAAGGACAUGCCUCUUUCAUUAACUGGUGCAACUGAAAAAAAAAAUGCCUCACUCAUGCUUGAUUUUGAGCUCUAUGAACUGAAUGUCCUUGGCUCUCUCAAAAUGAAGAACAGAAAUUACUUUAGUACCCCAAAUAGGAAGAAACCCCAAGCAUCUUUAUUUAUUUACACCUUCACUUUGUGAAACUGCCCAACCAUGCUAACAUAUUUAAUAAUGUUGUGAAGCUGACUACCAAUUUGAGGUGAAGCAUGCUUCAUAUUCGUAGUACAAACUUGUUAAGGACAGAUGCUUCUUUGCUAAACUGAUGCAAUCAACGGCAUACUUAUGCUUUUUUGAGCUCUCUAUCAACUGAGGUACAGCUAGAAAUGAAUAAUAGUAGUGCUUAACAUUUCAAAAUGAACAGCAGAAAUUAGUUUUGUACCCCCAAACAGAGAUAGACAAGUUUAUUAGCUGACAUUAUCCAGGGAGUACCUGGCACAAAACAACUUCUGAGAAUGCAUUUUGUUAAGCUGGGUUCAACAAUGAUUGAAUUAGUGUAACCUGUUGGAUCAUUUCAUCUUAUUUUACCUCGUGCUGCACAUCUAGCUCACAAUGUGAGAAGAGAACAUAAAUGAAGUAGCAAUUACUUACUUUGUCCUUCUUUCGGGUGCUUGCAGGAAGCAGAGCGUAACAUGCAGAAGAUCGCAUCUGGAGGAAAUCCAAGAUGCUGAAUGAGUUCAAUAAAGUCUUCAUUCAAAACUAUUCAUAAAUUGCAUGUUAAACAAAUUUUGAGCAUGUUCGCUACACAUUGGACGGUGCGGUUUUCAUAGGCCUAACAUAUGAGAACAUAGACCGAGUGUUAAUAAGUCAUCAUCCGUUUGGGGCGAAAUGUUCCAAAUUAUUAAUUGCAAAAUGUUGGUGAAAGAUUUAGCAUAAAAUUAUUUCAUUACUAUCGGGAUGUGUAUGAUCUCGCUACUAACUUGAUGAUAGGAUGUGGCUCAAAAAGUUAACUCUACAAACAAGGGUAAGCACUACCUCGGGUAAAGCCGCACUCUCCUAACAAAGGUGUAUCUACACCAUUUCUUUGGCUAAGGAUUUUUGGUCUAUUUCAACAAGCCGACGUCUGGGUUAAUUUAUUUGUCCUUACCCUUGUUUGUAGAAAUAAUUGUCUUUUUCGUAAGAAGAAUAACAGAUUGGUGGAAAAGGGAAUUGGCAGGAGAAAUAACAUAAAACGAUUACCUAGUCCAUGGGUCAUAAGAAACGAGACACAAUACAUCAUAUGUCCUCGCUGACUUGCAGGUCGCCUACAUAUGUCUGGACAAGGAAAGGGAGAUAUCAUAUCAUGAUCCAACUUCCAAGGCCCUGAUGUCGCGCUGUUGCAUCCGUACGAGAAAUCUUUAUGGAUGUAGAGAGAAUGUGUGUGCACGUAGUUGUGUGUGCCUGGAGGGGGUAGUAAAAGCAAUACAUACAGGAAAUUGACAAGGCGAUCAGGAUGAACACCUUCACAGGAAAUAGACAGCAGCAUACGGCAUCUUGUCACUAGCAAAUCCAUUUUGCCGAGGUCGUGGGUUGUCGACACUCCUGAACAACAAAAAUCGAAGAUCAUGAUGAACAUAUGCACCAAAAAAAAAGAGAAAAAACUGUUGUUUGUGCGUAGUACAAGAAAUCAAGAUUGGAUGUUUUCUAUCCAGAGAAAUAAUGAGUGCAUAGUGGACCUUCGACUGUUACCCCACGAGAGCGGAACAACUCCAUCGCGCAUCCCCAAAAGAUGAGCACAGAAUGGCCUUGCCAGAUACAUAAACCUCACAAGCAAAUGGGCCAUUUUGAUUUGUAGGAUUCUCAAAAAAAAAUGCAUGUAUCCAAACAAAGAAACGUUAACUCUUGGAUCUUAUGUGUUUUGUUCACUGGAGUUAAUGAAAUCAAAAUCUUAACAGAACAACAAGAAUAUAUAUUAAUAAAAGGCAAAUCAGAUGAAAGCAAAACUUAAAAGUACAGCUAGAACGUUAUUUAUGCUAAUAAAGGAAGCACCUCGCUCUCCUAACCACGGUUAUCUUAAACAUAUGUAUAAAGUGGAUUUGAGUUUCCAUAUUUCCAAGGAGAUAACCAAAAGAAACGUCUCAUACUCCAAUCGUUUUCCUAUACUUUUCCUAUGAGCCAAGGAAUCCAACAAGAUGCCGAUAAACAUGCAUACAUGUACAACAAGGAAAUUGAACAAUUACCGAUAGUUGAUGGGUCAUGAUCAAGUUGAAAAUGCAUCAAGAUGUAGACACCUUCACAAGCAAGAAAUCAAUUGCAGCAGCAGACGGCCUGUCACGACCAAACCCAGAGCAGUGAUGGUGACGUAGGCACCUGGACAAACAAUUGUAUAAAGAGCAACAUCAUCAUAUCACAACAGACCACCACCAUACCCGUAGAACAAGCAUGAAACAAUACACGUACAACAAUGAAAUUGCAGAAGAAAAAACUAUUGCUAGCAUAGUAGUAGUACAAAAGAUGACCAUGGAUUGAAUGGAUCUUUCUUGAGAGAGAGACAGAGAACGAGUGGACGGCCUCCAUCCAUUCAUUUCGAGUGGACUGGGCAUCACUGCUACAAAAACUAUGUGAGCCACUCACUCCAUGUGCGCAUAUCCCCAAAAGAUGACCAUAUUAUCUGACUGGAACUAGCACUCGUAAAAAAAUACUAAAUAAAUCAAUACAUAAACUACUUAAGAUUAAUCAAUUUAGCGUAACAUUAGACACUAAACUACUAAUUAAGUUUAAUUUAGCACAACAUGGGACACUAUACUACUUGUGUCGGUAAGUUUUUAAAUCUUAGCACAUACUUCUUCCAUAUCAAAAUACAAAGAAGUUUUAUUACACCAUGGGGUAUCUUAUAUUUUGAUUAGGGAGUAUAUCGCAUAAGCACUGGUGCUAGAAAAUUUCUCUGGCCCUAGACGAGAAGGGUGAGAAAAGUCGACUAAAGAUGACACAAAAUAAUGCAAUGAUUUCCCACAAAAAAAAUAUGAGAAGUGCUAAACAUCUAAAGGCUUAGUGCGCGCCUAAGCUAAUAACAUAGAUUGUUAUCUCCCCCAUUUAGAUACUACAAAUCGUACCAAGGGAUGUGGCAAAAAAAAACUCAACAAAGAGUGUUCACAACACCACAAAAGAAGUGAAGGGAUGCAAAAGAGGUUUGAGUGGACUGGAAUUUUUCUUCUUAAAAAAUAAAAGAGUGCAUGAACGCUUAGGAAAAAUCCUAAGAAUUUCAAAUCCUUCAAGGAUCAUGUGAGAGACUCCCUCUGUAAUGAUAUAUAGAAAAAAAAUCACACAUAUCCAAACACCCUAUAAAUCCUUCCGAACAUAGAUUUAUUUUUUCCUUUGUCCUGCGGUGAUAUACAUAUAGUCCGAUGAUUAAAAAAAAACUCGGCACACAGGAGACGGACUAGCAGGGCUUGAUGCGAAGUACUAGCGGCAGCUGUGAUAGCUUUCUUCGCUAAAAUAUUCGUUUUCCUUGAUGAGAAGUAUGUGUAUAAUAACAUAAAAUAAAGAUCCAAC